GAGCUCCAGAUGCGGCAGACGCAGCUCGCGCGGGCCAGGUCCGGGACGGGGAGCUUCUCGAAGAUGAGCCGGAGGGUGUCGCGGCAGGCGAGGGCGGAGAAGUGGGAGUUCAUCGGCGAGAUGGUGGAAUCGUUGGCAGCGGAGGCGGAGGCGGAGGCGGAGGAGGAGGCGGCGGCGGCGGCGGCGGAGAGAGAUCCCGGUCGUCGUCGUCGUCGCCGCAGCAGCCCAUUGAGAGAGAGAGAGAGAGAGAGAGAGUUUUUUGGUUUUGAACGGUGGAUAGUAGAGGUGCCUGGAAUAUGGUUGAAUUAUGAGUUUUCCCCGUGUUUUGUCAUUUAUUACAAAUUGCCCCUAACUUUUCGAUUUUUUGCGAUGUCUCCCCUAAAUUUUGAAAUCGGUUGCAAUGUCGGACUGGGGUGACUUCCAUUACUUUUCAGUUUGAGCACCGACCGUGUGCUUGUCACGUGACUGAGUUGAUCUUUCAUGGAGGGUAAAUCCGUCGGAUAAAAACAUGCGAAUUGUAUUUUAACCUCCAAACUUUGGCAAAGUUGCCCUAACUCUCCGUUAUAUUUCUCUUCCACUUUUUAUCAGCAAUAGAAAUUAUAAAAUCAUUUCCUUUGAUUUAUGAACAUAUUGCUCACACAAAAAUUUCAUGAAAGGAAGUAGUUACACUGAUUUGGUAUUUUUUUUUAUAAUAUAACUAGACAUCAUCACACCACAUGAAAAUCUGAUGUUCGUAUCAUGUUCCUACAGAUUGAUAUUAGUGCUACACUAUCGUGUCUUUUAUUUAACAAUUAAAAUGAUUGACUUAUGGAGUAAUCACUUUAAUAUGUGCUAACAAACAAGUUCUACAAGUUCUAUUGUCUCUUACAAUGUUAGGACUUCUAUUUGCAUUUCCUGAUUUGCUUUUGUCUUACCCUGUAUUGCGAGCCCUAAUAAGCCAUUUCUAGAAAUGAUACAUGAAUCUUUUAGUUGAUUACAUAUGCCUUUCAAAGUUUGGACGAAGUUUGGAGGCUGUAAUCAAAAUCAAAUGCAAAAUUUAUUCGUAACUAAUUAUUUUAAAAGUAUGGGUUAAAUUUGUAAAAAUAUUGAAAACAUAAGCCCCUUGUGAAAAUUGGCCCGAGCCAACACUAGGAAGGCUUUGCAACCAAUUUCAAGACUUGAGGGAGCAUUGUGAAAAUUGAGAAGUCAUGGGGCGAUUUGCAACAAGUGCCAAGAUCUAGAGGGACGGGGUGUAAUCCAUUCCUCAAAUUCCGAUGCCGCGAAACACUUUUUCUUUGCAAUUUUUUUUUCUUAUUUCUAGUUUGUGGAGUUUUUUUUUUUUUUGGUAAAGACACAGUUUGUGGAGUUUUUCUUCUGCACAUAAUGAGAAAAAUACGGACGCGAAAUAGUUUUCGAUGAUGAUGACCAUAUUUGGAAUCACUUGUCGCCGGAUUUUAACCGUUUUGCCUAUACAAAAAGGCAAAAAGAAGAUUUGCCCACAUGUCUAUUGAUUUUGAUUUUAAAUAAGAUACACUAUGACAACUAGACAAAGUAUAAUGUUGGCCUAUGGUUGAUAACGUCGACUCAUCUUUGCUUAAAGUAUCAUGAAACUGUCAAGCUCUCUUUUUGAGUUUAAAUGUGACGUAACUUUAUGGAAGGAAAUCAUACUACUGGCUAGCUUUUGAAUCUUGGGAUCAAUAAAUGUUUAGAUGCUAGGUUCUUUUCACUUCAUUCUGGAGAGUAACUCCAUGUUUUAUUACUAUUAAAAAAAGAAGAAGGAAUAGUAGGCUCUUGACAUUAAUAUUUUGUAUUUGGCUUUACCCUUACUUUCAUACAAAAAAUAAAUAAAUAAGAUUUAAUUAGCACGGGUGCUAUGAAAGUUAUUACCAUGUGGGCAAAAUCGACACUACUACUAAGCUUCUUUGUUUGGUGUCUUCCGCAGGAACCAAAUUUUCUUUUGUGUUGGCAAAAACUAAACUAUUCUUUAACAAUAACGAUCGUAUCGAUCACAGUAUAUGCAGAGGUUGAUUUAAUUAAACGGAUUGAAAUCUUAAUAGAAAUCGAUUGAAACUUUUACUCUACAUAGAUUAGAGUGAAAAUAGAAGUUGCAGCUCCCUACACUUAGAUCUCCACCUAUCGUUAGAUCAAAUUUGAACUAGGAUGGAAUGAACAACUUAUGAGCAUUAGUGUGGUUUCACGUAUAGUUCCAUGAAAGAAAAUGCAAAAUCUGUAAAUGUAUCUCUCAUGGAUAAUUUACUUGGAAUUAGAUCCUAAAAACUGGUGAGGCUUUGAUAAAUCACGUCUUACACUAUAUAGGAGUAAAUAUACCUGUUGAUAAUAAUUGGGGCUAGGUAGAGAGAGAUUUGGGAGAAUGACAAAAGAUAGAUUCGUGUAGCCUUUAAUAGAACUUCAUGAGCAUUGACGGAUUGAUUGAGUGAUUAAAUGUUUGAUUUGGAUGCAAUAGAUUUCAUAUUCAAAUGGUAACCUCAGAGGCCAUACCUGUAAUCUAAUACACAUAGAAGUGGUGGUUUGCAUUCAUAUGUGGGAUCAAUUGAGCCAAAAGGGUUGGAUAUCACGUUUUUAUAAAAAAAAAAUCAUAAGAAAAUUUUAGACCACUGUCCAACUAUCUUUAAUUCUUAAUUGAUAUGGUAUGGUAAGCACUUGGUUAAGAAGAAUUCCAGGGCAGACGACUCCUACAUUUUGCGCUUUAGAUCUGGAUCGUGCAAGCAAGAACUCAUGCAAACUAACUCGCCUUAAGUUAGCGAUGGUUUACUUGAUACUACGCCAACGAAAUGGAAUCUGCUUAUCAAAGGCCCAUGAGUCAAUUGAUUUUCAUGAGUAAGAACGCAGAUGAAUGAGAAAGGGCAGAUCCAGAGCAAUCCAAGCAACGGAAUGCAUCGCAUGAAGAAGAGAGAGGGCCAGCUGUGACAACGCCCGAAACUAAAAUAGCCGACGGGGCAUCCGCACCCUCAUUCAAGAGAUUUUUUUGGACAUUGCUUGCUUUUUCAUUGGAAAAAUAUUACUUUUUAACUUAUAGGGAGCAAAAAAGAUUCAGGCCAUUUGGCUUGACAAAGGCUCAGAAGAAACAGAUGACAAAGAGGAUCGAACAUACACAAAUGAACAAUUCAGGAAGUUAUUGAGGUUAAGGUUCCUCCAAGCGAGGGAUGAAAAUUUUAGCGGAGAUUUUGAGAAGCUAUUUCUUGAAUUAAGAUGGCUUCAGUGGACAGGAUGUCCUUCAUCUUUCGAGGCGACCAACUUGCGUAUGGAGAAACUAUUCAUGCUGGGAUUGACACAAAGUGCAAUUACAUAACAUUGGAAUGGAUGGAGCUCAAUCAGGAUAAGCCGGAACGACACAUCUUGAUGUCAUGUUUCUAAUAUUGAUUACUCCUUGACGACUAAUUCCCACUAUACUCUUUGUUCUUAUAGACGGCGAAGUGGCUCAAAGUUUGGAACCUUAGGUGUGGUCAUUUACCAUGUACUCUUGGCUAUCCAAAAUAUAGAAAUUCUCAUCCUUAAAGAAUGUGAACAUUUGGAGCAAAUUCACCCUUCUAUUAAUGAAUUAGGAGAAUUGAACGAACUUGUUUUGGAUUCGAUUGCUACAAAAGAGAAUCCUGCUAUUGUUUCUCUGAGGAAGCUAGAGAAGCUCAGUGCCAAGCGUUGUUUUGCUCUGGUUCGACUUUCGGACUCCAUAAGUCAUCUAGUGAAUUUGUUGACCCUCGAAUUUAUGUAAUUGUCAGGGAAUGGCCAAACUUCUAGGCAACAUUGGGUACCUCAAGAAGCUAUAGAGCUUGCCAUUUGGCGCAACUUCCACACUCUGUUGCCCAUCGACACAAGUCCCAAGCUCCAUUGGGAAGAUGGAAUCCAUGACUAAACUCGACCUAUCCAGCACAAACAUAACGUAACACUACCAUCUUCCAUAGGAGAUUUGCAUAACUUGGAAAUCCUGAAGAUUUCUACUAGAUUGAAAAGUUGCGAGGUGCAAUUGGAAGGUUGGGGAAACUCCUGCAAUUGGAUGCUUCAAGUUGCACUAGAAUAGAAGGGGAAAUUCCAAGUGAUUUUAACAACUUGUCUUCACUCGUGAAGCUUCUAACAUAUACAUCCAUUUCUGGCUUGCCAGAAGGCACUCAGAAUCUUUCUUCUCUGCAACAUCUUGACUUAGGGGGCUGCCAAAAGCUUCAAUCAAUGCCUGAGCUUCCUUCUGGGUUAGAUUUUCUGCAAGUCACUAAGAGUUUUUGCCUCCACUUUUUUACCAAAUUCAUCUAAGAGAACUCAUUGUUUAUGAUUGCAUAUCGUUGGAAAAUCUCCUAGAGCUUCCUCCAAGACUGUUGAAGCUUCACGUCACAAGAUGUGGCAAGUUGAAAUGCUUGCCAAGAUUUGAGCCUCGUGAAUGCCCCAAAAUGAUGCAAAGCAAACGCCGACACGUUGCAAUAUCCCCAACGACGUUGGCCAUAGCAGGUCGCGUGAAGUUGACUAAGUUGGAUGGCCUUGGACAAUGUGCAAAGUCCCUAAGAUGCAUGCCAAUGAGUGAGAACUAUGGAUCAAGCACUCCAUUAGAUAUGGAAGACAAUCUAGUCGAAGUUCAAGGUCUUGACAAGUUGAAGCACUUGGAAGAAUUGGAUGUAGAUUUUUGCUGUUUUAUUGGAAGACUGGACCUUCCAAAACCAAAUCAUCUGAACGAUUGAUUGCUAGAUAUUGCAAAAAUCUAGUUGAAAUUCGAGGCCUUUAUCAUUCAGAGUUCUUGGAAGCACUGCAUAUCACUGAUUGCACGUCCAUUUUGAGAUUAAACCUUGCAAAAUCAGAGCAUCUAAAGGAAUUGAAGGCCACAAAUUGCAAAAGUCUAAUUGAGAUUUAAGGCCUUGAUAGGUUGAAGUUCUUGGAAAAGUUGGAACUCUGGUCAUGCAAGUCCCUGGAAAGAUUACCAAAACUGUCGUGCUUGGAGACCCUGAAAGAGUUCAACAUCAACUGGUCCAUUGUCUGACCAAAAACAACGGAUGCAUUGAGCUUCGUGAUAUUGAGUCUGGAGAAUUUUUUGUCCUGCCAAAGCAUAUAUAUGGACGAAUGUCCAUCCUUAAAGAUAUUGCCAAACCUGUCAAAUUUCGAGAAUUUAGAGAAGCUCACCAUCAGGAUUCGCUUGAUAUUCACAUGAUGCAAGUCAAUCAAGACUUUACUAGAUUUGUCGACAUGUAAGAUGUUACAAUUUUUGGUGGCCCAAGACUGGGACAAACUUGCCGAACUUCGAGGACUUGAAAAUUUGGGUUUCAUGUAUUUGGAUGUUUCUGGAUGCGACUCACUGGGAGCAAUACCGAACUUUUCUAGAACACACGUCAUACAGGACUAUGAAGAAUGCCCAUAUGAUUAUGGCUUACCAAUGAUUGAAUUCCGAAGGUACUGAUGUGAUAAAUCAUGUAUUACAAUUGGGAGACAAUUGAUGCUUCCCUAAACUAAGGAAAAAGAGCAAGUAAAUUGUCGUUCUUCUUUCGAUUCGUACUAACUUUUUGCCAAGAACAUUUUCCUAAAAAAUCAGCUCUCAGAUUUUUCAUUAUGAUCCCGAAGCAUUGGAAUUUUAUGCUACACAAAGGUGGAUUUGUUCCCUUGAUGCUUGUCCCGGACAUUCCAACUAGGUGCCGCAAGUCCAAACAACUCCAAGAAGUCAGGAAUGACCAACGUACUAGCCACAAAGAACGAUGCUCAAAGCUUGUGGAGUUAGUAAUGCUAUCUUCCAUUUGCCUGAACUGAGUUGACCACAAAAUGCACUGAAAAUCUCAAAAAAAAAAAGAAAAAGAAAAAAAGAGGAAGGUAAUGUCUUUGAAGAUAGAAGAUAACAAACGAAUUCGUGAGGAUUGCAGCUACCGCUGCUUCCAGAGACUUUUCAUGUAAACUCCGGUGCUGCCUCUCUGUGAUAUGAUGACUAGUUCCUCAAAAAUUUGAUAUAAUGCCAAAGUUUUUGUAAAAACAGCGAGCUGUCUAUAUUGCCAAUUUUCCAAGACCACACGAUUUAUUCGAAAGUAUAAGCUAGCACAGGUUCAUUUUUCCUACUCUCAUAUCAGCAGCAUACCAAUGUCUGGUUUUCCAAUUCCCCAGGAAAUGAAGAUUUAUUCUCUUUGCAGGGGUUUAUACCAAUAAAUUAUCAAUACUCUUUUACAUUGCCAAAAUUUCACAGUUGGCAUCAAAACUGAAUUGCAUAUUAAGCUUAUUAUCGAUAAGAAAAUUAACGUUAGAUUCACUUAUAACGUCUCAGCUAGAGAUGUCCAUCACUUUUUUGACUCAGUAUAUUGAGAGGGAUGACAGUCUUUAUUGCUCAAGCUUUUCCUAGGUGUUUAUUGUUGCACUGAAAUUGAAGUGUAGCUGGAUAUGAUUUUUACUUUGCCAGAGCUGUCACUGUGCAUCAGCAACAAUUGGAACUCCAUAGAUUCCUUGCUGAUAGGAAUAUACACCUGUACCAUCAAUAUGGAGUAGUUUAAUGGCACUUCGCAGCAUGAUCAAGUGCCAUUCAAUGGCUGUCCACUAAUUUGCGUAAUUAUCGUACGGGUAUUUACAUGUAACUAUGUAGGGUACUUCCGUGCUUUUCCUCAUGAAAAGUGAGGGAAAAUUAAUUGCUUGCUUUAGUAUGGUUUGGCAGUUAGGAUUGCUGGAGACUCUUGAAUUACUUGAAUUACUCAUCUAGUUCCUGAUUUGCUGAAUCAUUAUCACUAUUUUCUUGCUAAAGAUUGGACAUCCUAGCGAUUUGUCAGCCGACAAUUUCUGCAUACGUGAGAUUUUUGAAAUUUUAGCAAAAAUAACUUCAAACGGCACUAAUGCUUGAAGAAAUCUUGUUGAAGUUGGAAAUGUUAAAUUCAUUUUUCUAGGACAUGAUAAUUGGCACCGCAUGUAGAAAUUCAUCCGCACUCCAUCCAAAUCCGGGACUGAUACAAAUUCUGUCUCAGCAUUGUAAGAAACAGGGGAAGCAGAGUAGAAUGGUACUAUGAAAUACUGAAUAAGAGAAACAUCAGGUGCAAUUCCAGAUAAAUGUCAUUUGACCAGAAUGCAGUUCCAAAUAUCAGUCGAAACCGGCAUUUCAUACGUGCAAGUUGCCCCCAAAGUCAUUGCCUAAUCAAUCCAAAGGCCAUUUGCACUUGCAUCCCGCAUCCUCUUUCUGUGAAAUUACUUAGCAUAAGGUGACAUCAAGCUUGGAUCUGCACUCUGCAGCCUCUUUCUGUUGAUAUUGUUAGAAAUCUGACAGCCUCAUCCAAACCUUUUUUAUGGUUAUUUUCCAAUUGAUUAUGGUAGAUAUUACAUCAAAACACUUUGAAAAUCACUUAUCAGGUUAUAGUUUUGCCUAAUUAGACGAAUGAUUCCAAUGGACCAAUGAUUAAAAAAAGUCUUUGGCUUUACCCUUGAGAGAACAUCGACAUCAACAUGUUGUUAGCAUUUAGCAUGUGACUAAGGUCUUUUGCGAACCUUAUUUUCCCUCCAACAUAACGUAUUUCGCAAUAGUAAUCUUCAACAUAAUAUGCAUUUUCUUUGUGGCGUCAUAGUGGGCGUACAGUUUCGUAUGGUCUCUUCAAAGUUUUUCCCUGAUAAUUCAGUAGAAAUUGUUAUCAGAAGUUGUCUCUGGUGCUGUGUUUUGUGUCCGAACUUCUUUUGUUCGUCUACUACUCUACCUCAUUCUCCAUUAAAAAAAAUAAUAAUAAGUACAUACAAUAGAAGUUAGUCUAAUAUCUAACAAGUUAAAAGUUAGCAUACCUAGAUUUCUGAAAAACGAUUGCUUGUAUCUCAAUCGCUCUGAAGAUAUUUUCCAAAAAAUAAAUGAUUUGGAAAAUACAUCUUUUCUCAUAUGGGCAUAAUAUAAUUCGAGCAAAAACAUUAUGCCCAAAAGAUUGAAGGUAUACCAUGGAAUCAAGCUACUUAUGGGCUUCAUAUCAUCACAGAAGGAACCUUUAAACCAUGUAGAGGUCCUCAUUGUCCCAAAAAGUGGCAUGUGAUUUUAUGCCGGAAAUGGAGUACUUGUGUGUGUUUUUGUUGGUAGCCAUCACAACAUCGAGGCACCAAAUUGCAUUGGUAAAUUGAGGCAUCUACUUUAUCUCAAUUUUUCUUAUACUAAUAUCGAAAGGCUUCCUAAAUCAAUUGUUCGACUGCACAACCUAGAAGCUUUAAUGUUGCGUGGUAAUGAAAAUCUUACCGAAUUGCCUGAAUAUAUUGAAAAACCGNNNNNNNNNNNNNNNNNNNNNNNNNNNNNNNNNNNNNNNNNNNNNNNNNNNNNNNNNNNNNNNNNNNNNNNNNNNNNNNNNNNNNNNNNNNNNNNNNNNNUGCUAUCACUUUUUAUAGGUAAUUUUGGGGGUCUUGAGAUGUGUCCAAAUUUGUUGUGGGAACCCAAAAAUGGCUAAAGGAGUUGUAGAUAAUGCCGAAUGCACCUUGUAGGGAAAUUAUUCACCUCCAAGUUGCUUAAGGUUGGAGAGCAGGUCAAUUUACCCACGAGGGACAGAAUAUGCUAGUGGACCAUGUAGUGAGUGAAGAUUAUGAAAAUUUCCUGAAUUUGUUUGCAAUUUUAACACAAUGAUUAACUUGAAAGAAGAAGAAUAUACAUUAAGAAUCAUAUUGGAAAAAAAAAGUACAAGAACGACAUUGAACAAAUUGUAAAAGUACAGCGACCGGCGGUUUAUUAUCUCUAAAGUUUUUGCACAAAUUUUGUGAAGAGAGUCUCCUAAAGAUUUUGUUAAAAGUGAAAUGUAUUGCUUUCUAUUCUUUUUCCACAAAAUCAAGGCAAUGACACUUUCAAGAAAAUGACCUACACGUCUCAAUAUCUUUUCCCGUUUCCACAUGCAUUAUUUUCUCUAACAUGGCUCUUAGAGAGUAUCAUCAUAUAAAAUUAGUCUUCACUAUGAAUUACAUUGACUCUUACACUAAUAUUGAUUCUUUAUUGUUGGCCAAAGGCCUAAGUGUAGAUUAAAUGCCUCUCAUCAAAAGACCAAUUUUCCACCUGCAUUAUUCUAGUGCAUUUUGCCGUACGUCACAUUUGAAUUGUUUUAACUCAUAGAUACUUUAACAUUAUGCAAUGAAAGGCUGAGAUUUAUUCUUUAGCGGUUCAACAGUCAAUGAUCUUUUAGGUGAGGGCAGGCCAGGUUCCCUGAAUACAUAAUAGAAAAAUGAGUAAGGAAUAAGUGACACGGUUGUCGUACCACAUAAGUUGCGUUCAUAAGGUUGGGUUGUACUACACCCAAGCGGGGAGGCCCGCUAAAAAGGAGCCAUAUAAGAAGCAAAUAAAAAAAAUCAUAAUUUAUUUUUUUAUUAACAUGAAUUACAUGUGAAUGUGGGUCGGACUCAUUAAAGUUUAUAUUGAAUCAAAUCUUGUUACUUUAAAUUCACAACAAUCUUUUCUUUGAAUUUUAACUAAACCAUGCUAUUUGGCUAAUUAAAUGUGACUUAGACCACGUCAACGCUUCUAGUGGUGUAAGACUUAUAUUUUAAUAAAUAAGGAAAGUAAAGGUUGUUCAUAUUCACUUUGAUAUUCGCGACCAUGUAAUCCUAUUACAAAGAUAACUAAUGAAAGGGAAGGGCUAGUGGGGUAAAGAAGUAAAUUACCUUGUCAAAGACGGUAAGAUUAUGUGUGUCCCGAGCACUUUGGCUCAUCUUUUAAGGCAAAGAGAAGAAGUAAUUUCCAACGUAAACACUUUCACGAAAGUUGCCGAGCAAGGGAGGUGAUUGUGUGGCUCUUUAGUAGUACCAUGCAAAAACUAAUUUUUCAAUGUGAACACGUUGACUCCAAUGUAAAGUAUUGAGUUUUUCGGUUAAUGGGGUCGAGAAAAGCUAAAGGUCACUUGUCUUGAUUUGAUUGGUCACGCGGACUAAUUGCAAAGAGAAAGUAACAAAAUAUCCUCAAAAAUCUAAAGUGAGUGAGGUAGUCUUGCUUGAAGGAGAUGAUUAACUUUCUACACCUUUUACACAAACAUUAUAUAUAUACAUACAAAAUUAGAUUUGGACUAUUGAAGAUAACAAGAUUUAUGUAAGUUUUAUAUGAGCCUUGUUAAAUUUAACAGUCUAAGUUCAUUUGAUAAUAUUUUUAUUCUUGAAAAAAAAAUUUGUUUAUAAAUAAUUUGUUUAUUUUUAUUUUCGAAAACAAAGAAAUAGAUUUUUAUCUUUUCGGUUUCAAAUUUAUUUACUGAUCACUUUUCUAUUUCAGAUAAUAGAAAAAUUAGUUGAUUUUGUCAAAUAAUUUUUUUUUGACGAAAAAAAAGAGCAGAAAAAUAUGAAAACAGGAUGGGUACGCCUGGAUAAUCACUAGAAAAAUGGGUACGGAAUGACUGACAUGUCACAUGGACACUGGUCAAAGGAACAGGCAAAGCUCACGCGGUUCUCGUACGACAUGAGUUGGCCUACACAUGUUGGGUGGUGCCAGACUAGAGCACGAGGGCCCAUUAAGAAGGAGCCAGGAAAAAGCAAAUGGAAAAAUCAUUACUAUUUUAUCUUUUUUUUAUUAACAUAAAUUACAGUUGAAUGUAGUUUAGACUCAUUGAAUUUCUAUGUAGUUAAAACUUUUUACUUUAAACUCAUAACAGCCCAUCCUUUAAAUUUUAGCUAACUCACUAAAUAUGAGUUAAUUUGUAGAUUAUUUUUCAACUCAUUUUAACGCCAGCAAAAGACUUCCAUUUCCACAGCAGAGAAAGCAAAAGGUUGCUCAUCCACUUUGAUUUGCACGGCUAGGUGAUCCAAUUACAAGGAGAUCUGACAAAAGGUGAGGGUCAAAGAAGCAAAUUGCCUUUUUAAAGUUGAUCGUUUAAUUUUUGUUAAGAAUUUUAAUUGGAUUUAAUUAAUCGAAUCAAAAUAAUCCCAAAAAGUGACUUUUUUUUUUAUCAUCAGAACUUAACCAAAUAAAGAAAAUACGGAAUUUCGAUCCGUUUCGGUUCCGUACAAAUUACCACACAAAAGACGGGGCAAUCCACGGCAAGAAAGUGCGUGGAUCAGGAGCAGGUCUGGCUCAUCUUUUGAGACGAGAGAAGAUGCAAUUUCCAAUUCGAACGCCUUGCGGGACGUUGCCAAGCAAAAGUGAUGGCGAUGAUUGUGUGGCUCUUGCGGAGAAGCAACCAAAAUAUCUUUAAAGUCUACGGCGAGGUAGUCUUGCCAAUUUCGAGGAAGGAAGGUUUGUUUCGGUGGUCUUGGUCAAAAAGGUGAAGGUAAAAAAGCAGUACAAUUGCCGCGUGAAAGAAGCGCAAUCCUUUCCACAAGAUUGCGCGUCUCCUUCGGGGCAAGAGUGAGAAGUAAAAGCUUUAUUUAAAGUCCCGAGUGCUAGUAACCCAGGAGCAGAAACGCCAAUCACCGUAAGUCACUUGAGACGCUCGUCUUUCGCUUUGAGAUAUCUGGCUUUGAUAGCUCUAGAUUGAGGCGUGAAGGUGAUCUCAUAAUUGUGCUGCUUUUGAGGCUCGGACACGACUUGAUGUGCUUUAAGGUAACUCUUUUUCAGACAUUAAAGCCCAUCUGAGUAAUUCCGUCUCUGCAUCACUCCUCCAGAUGAGCCGGAUAGUCUAUUACAUUUUUGAUAGAAGAAAAUAAAAACAUUUGCACCGCAUCUAACAUCCUUAAAAGCAUGCACAAUAUAACAUGUGAAAUUCCAUCGACUUUUUCAAAAUCACAGUCGUCACAUUUAUUGUAGAUUUUUCUUACUACGUUACCCUUUAUUCAAACUGAUCACUAUGAGCGGUUGGACUGGUUAAAUUCGGGGGAAUUUAAUAGUUCCUACUACAAUCUCUCUCUCUCUCUCAUAUUUGUCACUUUCUGAACCUUUUACAUCGGUCCUCUCUCUUGCAGAACAGUUCAACGCUAUCAUCUACAGUCCUCGCUCUCUCUCUUUGUUCAUUUCCCUCUUGAAAGUUCUCGCCGAGGCUUGUUUAGGGUCUUCUCUCUUCGAGCUUGCACCUCUCUUCGCAUCUCAGCUCGCGGAAGGUAAUCGUUUUUUCAUCUCUUAUUAGCGUGUCAUCUUUGUUGAUUUGUUGCGGCUGACCUAGUGUGCAAAGUGUAUUGGGCUCUUUUUGUCUAAUGUGGGAGGCUGCUAACGUGGUGUGUCACCAGCUCAUAAUCGACUUCUGUAGAAAGGGAAGCCUUUGCUUUCGACUUUAGAUGUGACUAAUCAUGUGGCCUCUCUGUCUCAUUGUUCGUUUGCAUCGCAGUUCAUUGUCCAUCCUUUAUUAAGCUAGAAUGAGUUAGAAUGCCAGCACACUAGAUUCUUUUUUCUUUUUUUUUGGGGUCGAUAAAGCACUUACCAUUGAGUUCGAGAUCAUUACAUAAUAAAACCGAAACUGAAAAUGGAUAGGGCAGAUAUAAAACCCAAUUAUGAGGAAGGCGGUUAUCACGAUAGGCUUUUGCUACCCGGUUGGCAGGCUUGUUAGCUUUUCUAGGUGCAUAAGAUAUUUAGAUUUCUUGAAGUUGGGCCAGCAGCACUUUGGUAUCUUCUAUAAUUGGUUGCACCGUCGAUGGGCUCGGAAUUAAGCCCAUUAAACUUUCCAUCACAACUUUGUUGUCAGAGUGUACUUCGCACUCGUAGGUUAGUUCAGGCCAAGCCGAAGACUUUUCCCUCUUUCCUGCUAAAGACUCAUUUCUCUUUCUUGCCUCUGCUAGCUUCAACAAAGCCGCACGAAUGGCCAGAGCCUCCGUUUUUAGGGCUGAAUUAGCGGUGAUUUUCUCCACAAAACUGUCUAUUGCGCACAAAAUUGCCAGUAUUCACCUCAAACCAGGGACCGUCUUUUAAUGGGUCGUGAGGUUUCUUUGUCUAUGAAGGUCUAAGAUAAAUUAAAUAAAAAACGAAACAGAAAAGAAAAAGUAGUAGGCCGGUUUGCGGCCAAUUUUGGGAUCAAGGGGUUUGAUUUUCAAUUUCGAAAAUUGGAAACAGGCUUUGAUAGGAUAGGUUUCAGGUCUUGUUUCGGAAUCUACACACUAUAAAAGUAAUUAUUCUCUUAAUUGGAUUUUAUUCGACAAUUUUGCCUCCCAAUAGAACAUUCAAGACAAAUAAUAUGAUGUCUUCCUUGAAUUAUUGGACAAGAUAACUCAUUCUUCCUUCAGAGUCUUGAAAAUUGACGGAGUCAGUUAACUGAAGAAAGGGUUAACACAGUUAACUGAAGAAAGGGUUAACAAAAAAAAAAGUUGAAUGAGUUAAUAUGCCUAGGUUUGAGUAUUUUUAACUCUAUUGCUGCUUUUUUUGAACAAAAAAUGAAAACUAUAUUGCUACUUUCUACCCGCUCUCCACUCAUGAUAGUUUCAAUCAUCACAAUACAAAACAUACCAAAAUCCAUAUUAUGAUGACUUCUUUCACCUUUGUGUCUUUCUAAAAUUGCAGUCAUGGUAAAAUCUUAAUUUACUUAAUCAUAGAGACUCCCAAAUACAUGAAUUCUUUUAAAAUAGAAUAGAAGUAGAUAAUUGAGGGCUUGUUAUUCAACAGUAUAAUAUGAUUUAUAUACCCGUGUCAAUCAAUAUCCAUAUUCACAUAUAUCUAUCUAUGAUCUUUUCUUUAACUUCAUACCUUUUACAUGCUAUUCAAUAGGAAGAAAAAUAUCUUAUGACACACACGUGAAAAUGAUCACAUAAAUUGAGGCAUACGCGCAUAUUAAGAGAUUCACCAAACUUUAUAACACUCAUUUCUUACACUUCUUAUUACAAACAAUAAAUUCGUUUUUCAAAAUGUGAUUAAUCAAUUUAACUUGGUUUAUCAUGAAUUUAGUCAAUAAUCCUACUCUUCUUCCAUUUAGUUGAAGAAAAAAAGCUUUGCGGUGAUAUUUUCAAAGUGGGGCGUCCAACAAAAAUGGGGACAAGCACUCAACGUCAUUGUUUCAAACCUUGGUCGUCUCUUAAUUUUCUUCAGGAGCUUCCUUUUACUUCCUUUCUUCUCUUCUUCUCCUGCUUCCACCGAAUCCGUACAAUUUUGUGUCAUUUCUAAUCGGUCAGACUAACGUGGAGAAGGGGCAAAUUCAGAGCAAGGCAAACAAAGGGCUGCAUCGUUUCGUUUCAGAUCGGUUCCUUUGCGGUGCUUCUUGCGUCUAUAUGCUUGUAUUCAAACAUCUCACUAAGAAGAAAAAGAGUGCACUGAGGGAAUCUGCCACUCCGUUUGAUGCUAUCUAACAAAUUUAUAGCUUUAGUUCUACAGAUAAGAUAUCAAUCAAUGUUUAAGAUUUGAGGAUUUAAAAUGAAAGGCUCAGUGAUGAUAUACCGGUUCAAAAUAAAAUAUUUAUACAUGGAAUUAUAGCAUGUGGUGUUGGCGUGUAAUGAGUAAAAGAUAAAUAACCAUGAGCAUUUGUUUAUCCCUACCUCACAUUUUAACUUCAUUAAAUAUAUGACAAUUUUAAACAUAAUUUAAAUAUAAAAUCACAUCCAUAAUUACUAGCUCAGUCCUUUCUUGACUUCUUUCAAGCAUAUCUAAUUCUGUUUCAACUCAAUUAUUAACAUUUAAAUGAUUUAUCAAAUUCUGAUUUUCUAUAACCAAAUAAAAACCAAACGUAUGCUUAUGUUUUUAGUCGAAUGCAAUAUACUUGUACACAGAUUCCAGUUCUUUAUAGCCUAAUUGAAAAAUUAAUGUACACGUUGUUCGUGAUUGGAUCAAGCCAACGAGGUUGACUUGACUAGAGGAUGAGGUCCAAAAGAGGAUAUUUAAAAGCAUAGAAAUUUAAAAAUAUUUCUUUUAUCACACUAAAGGCCCUAAAAUUAACGUACAGGUUAAUUGAAAAAAUUUUGGACCCACAUUUUCAGGGAAAUACUCUUAGAAAAGCCCUAGUCAAUAUCUUCUUUCAUUUCUAUGCACUUUUAGAAAGAAAUAAAAUGUCGGCCCAAAAGGAAAUAUUUCCCCUCAAUUUAAAAUCAUUUUCAUCAACUUCCUUCAUAAUUUAAACAGCCAAACAAAUGAAAUUUUUUCCUCAAUUAAUAUUUUAGUUUUAGUUAAUUUUACAUAUGAGCAAUGCCUAAAACUUGAAUCCUGCCAAUUAAAUCAUGAUUGAUGGAAAUUUUCUCAAAUUAGGAAAGUGCACGCAUCUGGAGAAUGAUGUCCACUGGGCAACAAUUACAUGACACCACAUUAGUUUGGCCAACCGAAAUGGGGUUAGUAGAAAGGGUUGGGAAAAUGAGGUGGUGAAGAUAAUGAGGUUUGUUUGUAUAUUAGGCUAAAAAUAGUAAGAGUAAGGUCGAAGACUAUUAUAAGGAUAAGAUGUCGUGGGAGUUUAUAUUUGGUGGAAGAUGGUUCCAUGGUAUCUCCUAUUUCNNNNNNNNNNNNNNNNNNNNNNNNNNNNNNNNNNNNNNNNNNNNNNNNNNNNNNNNNNNNNNNNNNNNNNNNNNNNNNNNNNNNNNNNNNNNNNNNNNNNNNNNNNNNNNNNNNNNNNNNNNNNNNNNNNNNNNNNNNNNNNNNNNNNNNNNNNNNNNNNNNNNNNNNNNNNNNNNNNNNNNNNNNNNNNNNNNNNNNNNNNNNNNNNNNNNNNNNNNNNNNNNNNNNNNNNNNNNNNNNNNNNNNNNNNNNNNNNNNNNNNNNNNNNNNNNNNNNNNNNNCCCCCUCUCUCUCAGGAGCACGAACUUUUUUCAGCAUUUCCCUCUCAGAUCGCCAUGGAUAAAGGGCAAAUUCAGAGAAAGAGAGAGAGAGCACAGAAAGAGAGCACCGAGGGAGCAUCCACUUCUUCGUUCAUCUCUCCAAAACUCACAGGACAAGGUGACGAUGCAUAUGAUGUAUUCUUGAGCUUUAGAGGCUCAGAUACUCGUAAGGAAUUCACCGACCACCUCUACAAUAGACUGGUCAAUACAGGGACUGUGUCUAUUUUUGCGUUCAAGGACGAUAAGAGCAUCCCAAUUGGUGAGGAUUUUAGUUCACAAAUUCUUGGUGCCAUCUCACGAUCUAAGAUUUCAAUCCCCAUCAUCUCCGAAAAUUAUGCUACUAGCAAAUGGUGCCUUCGUGAGCUCAUCCAUAUGAUGGACUGCAAGAAUAGUGUGUCACACAUAGUGUUGCCAAUUUUUUACAAAGUUAAACCAUCAGAUGUGCGGAAUCUAGAAGGAAAUUUUGGGAAUGCCUUCCGUUCGAGUCAGGAGUAUUUUGAUGAGAAGGAUAUCCAGGAAGGGCCGUGUGCACUUAAAGAAGUGAGUUACUUACAGGCGUGGGAGUCCCAGAAAUUUGCUAACGGGUACGUACAGAACAUUUCUUCCUUUUUUUUGGUUGGGGAACUUUUCCUUUUUCUUUGAUAAGUUCUCUUCACGCAAAACCAAUGAAAUGCAGAUGUAUUACUUGCAUUGAAAGCUCAGAAAAGAUCCCCAAAAUGUCCCAGUAAACAACCCUAAUGGGUCGAAGACUAGCAAACACUAGUACUUCCCAGGAUCUCGUGAAAACUAAACGAACGACAACUUAAGCCAAAGAUCCCGUAGUGCCCAAGAAUUUUACAUUUGUCUCCAACACAAAGCCAAAAAACGAAAGAAACAACCCCUUCAGCCAAUACUAUGCCCAUAAUGGACCCCAAUGCUGGGUCUUGAUCGCUACCAGAUAACUUAGACCUCAUUAUGCCAACGGGUUGGCUCGGCUGAGAAGGGUUGGACAAUUCCCAUUUACCAUGUUUAGGCUUGAUUUCCAAUGCCAGUAACCCUCAUUGGUAGGCAAUCUUGGGAUAGCCUCCUCUCCUCCUAGAAUUUUUUAACCAAAAAAAAAUAAAAAAUGGACCUAUCUUUGAACGGGCAACAACCUCAAUCGUUAUAAUGAACAUUAUAGUUUGAAAGACUCUUCUUGAGCCAUGUACAUCACCUUAUUUUAUUUCAACAAGAUCCAUCUAUUGGCAUAAAAGGAUAGGGUAAAAAAAAUUGGAAUGACCACUACUCCAUCUUCCCCCAUUGUUAUGCGUAAAUCCAAAACAGCUUGCAUGUUAAUUGGCCCCAUGCAUCCUCAAAUAUAUGCUGGUCUUUGGAUGAGAUUAAGUAUAAUCAAGUAGUUAUCAAUGAAUUUUGUUGUUUGACAGGCAUGAAGGAGAAUUAGUGGAAGAAGUGGUCAAAAAGGUUUUGAGCAAAUUGCAACAAGACUUUCAGCUUGAUGUUACUAAGCACUUAGUUGGAUUUGGGGAUCAUGUGAGCAAAAUCAGGAAUUGGGUAGACACUCCUGCCAAUGCUGCUCGAAUGAUUGGAAUCUAUGGCAUGGGUGGGAUUGGAAAAACAACUCUGGCCAAAUCAAUCUACAACCAGUUGUUGGAUGAAUUUGUACAUCAUAGCUUCCUUGCUAAUAUUCGAGAAAUGGUUCAACACAACGGUAUUCCUUAUCUACAAAAUCAACUAAUUGAGGAAGUACUUCAAAUUGAAUGUCAAAUUCGGAAUGUUGACCAUGGAAUUAGUUUGAUUAGAUCUAAAUUCAAAGGAAAAAAGGUUAUCAUUCUUUUGGAUGAUAUAGAUAACAAAAAGCAACUAGAUGCUUUGGCUAGAGAGCGUAAUUGGUUUAUGAGUGGAAGUAUUAUCAUUGUUACAACUAGAAAUAAAGCUAUUCUUGAUCAAUCUGAAUUUGAGGUAGACUACCCAUAUGAAUUGAAUGAAAUGGGUAAGGUGCAUUCUUUGCUUUUAUUUAAGAGACAUGCAUUUCGUAUGGAUCAUUGUCCAACGGACUUUGAGGAUAUCUCUCAUCAAAUCAUAAUCACCAUGGGUGGGUUACCCUUAGCUCUUGAGGUUGUUGGUUCAUACUUGUUUAAAAAAACAAAUCUAAAUGUAUGGAAAGAUAUGUUGAAGCAAUUGAAAGAAGGACCACAUAAAGAUGUCCAAAAGAUACUGAAGAUAAGUUAUGAUGCAUUAGAAGAUGGACAUAAGCAAAUUUUUCUCGAUAUUGCUUGUUUCGGUUUUGUUAUCAGGGAAGAGAUCAAAUUCGCAAUGUACAUGUGGGAGGACUGUGGGUUUCGUCCAAGUCAAGGAAUAGAAGAAUUGGUAUUGAGGUGCUUAAUAAAAAUUGAAAAUGAUGGCAAGUUAUGGAUACAUGAUCAAUUGAGAGAUCUUGGAAGGAGCAUUUUUUGCCAAGGACAAUCACCUGAAAGAUGUAUUGGACCAUGGGUCGGCGAAGAAGCCUUCGGAGAACAAAUACUAGGAAAGGUAACAUCUGGCCCUCCUCUCUCUCUCACUCAUAAUUAUACAUAUAUAUAUUUUUAAUAUGAAUUAUUCUAUUCUUUAUUUAGUAUGAGGAAAUGCUCGUACUUUUUAGGAAAAAGUAUGUUUAAACAUCCGUUCAUGUCCAUUGUAGAUGAAUUGUGACAGCUAAUUGGGAUUAUAAGUGUCCCAAGGAUGAAAAAGUUACCUUAUUUGAUUCAAAUUCAUUGAUAUAAAUUACAUCUGUCAAAAACUUAAUUUACAAUCAAUUUAAGAUUCUUUAACUACGAUUCUGCACUAAAAAUCUGGUUCACUAAAAGCACGGAACUUUAUAUCUAGUUGAAAAUAUUAAUAAUCUGAAAAAUUACAGUAAUUAAUACAGAUGAAGCAUAUACAUCGUAAAAAAAAAAUUGCCAAUCAUAAUAAAUAAAAAUUAAGCAAAUCAGUAACAGUAAAGAAAAAUCAAUGUUUGAUAAACUUUUCCCCCAUUUUGAUCAUGAAAGUACCCGUCCCUCUACUAGUUUCAUCUAUCUCUUUUCCUUCUUCUUUCCUCUUAAUAGAUAUGAUGGUAAAAAAUCUCCUUAAGAAUUAUAUUGGGAAAACCUUACUAUGCUUUUAGGGUUACGUCACGUUGACCUUGUUCAUCUCAUGGACUAGGUUAGGUGUCUGACAAUCAGUGGAUCUUCUUAUUAUUUCUUUAAUUGCUUCUUUCAUUUCCAUUGUCCGUUCCUUCGCUUUUCCUAAUAAAAACUUCUUUCCUCUCCAAGUUGUUUUUAUAUUAUUUAUAUAUUUGGGACAACGCUCUUCUGUGCCAAAAACCACUGGACAAACUUGACUAUUUGGAGGAAAUGUCAUGCUUAUUAUUAUAUCGAUACUUUUUUAUUUACUAUAAACAAUUUUCAGCAUGAAGUCAAAUUUGAAAGUAAGUUUAGUUUUUACAUAGAUUGUCAAUGUUCAUGUCAUUUAAUUAUUUUAUAUUGUCCAUUUGGGGAAGCCUAGUUGGUUCAUGACUGAUCAAUGGCGGGGAAUUAGCCUUAGUUAUUAGCCAAGAGAUUGUGGGCAAAGGAAAAAGCUUUAUUUUCUUGAUUUAAAGUGAAAUAGUUCACACAUACCAUUAUAAAGAGCACACUCUUUUGUUGAUCCAGUGCCUGUUCUUAACAUUAGCACAAAGAGCACACCAUAUGGGUGCUUAAAAAAUGAAAAAGAAAAAAAAGAAGUCAGAAUUUGUUUGAACGGAGAUAAAUUUUGAAAGAUGCGAGGGACGUUAAUGUAAUUUGGAAAAUGAAAUAUUUAUGGGACUAAUUUCCACUCAUCUUGACCAUUUAAAUUAUUUAUAUCCUGUUUCUACAAUUCAUUUUGGUAAAAUAUCUGCUGAUCUUUUUUCUACGUAAUAUUCUGUAGGAUUAAUGUACGAUUGCAAUUUAUGAAAGAUAGAGUGAGAUGAUGAUUACAACAAGAUUUCGUGAUUUUUCCUGCAAACACACUUAAGAGAAAUUAUAUUCACCGUUGGUAUUUCAUUAGUUAAUAUACAAAGUACAAACAAUGACAAACGAGUCAAAUUAUAAAACUGAACCCGACUGAAAAAAAUUCUAUCUUUGAUUUCAUAGUGUUUGUGAAAGUUCUUAUUUCACAAAACAAACUUGUGUCUUCACGGUUUGGUUUAUUCUUAAUAUUUCCAAGAAACAAAAGAAAAAAAAAAUUGCACUUUCAAGUUAUGUUGAUGGGUCGAUAAUUUUAAUUUUUUUGAUGUACUAUAUCUCUUGCACUAUGGUAUCUUCUCUUCUAUGAUUGUACUUGGCCUUCUAAUAGCAUUCCAAAAAAAUAAAAAUAAAAACAAGAUAAUGCUUUCGAUUUGGAGCAAAUACUGUUCUAACAAAAUUUCACGUGAAAGAAAAAAGGUCAAUUAGUCAUGAACCCGUGCCAUGCAGAGGCACAAAAACUAACGUGAAUAAAUUUAGCGUGAAGAUAUAAUUGUAGUAUCCUAAUCUCUAUUGAAUCCAUGAGCUGUUUUCGUCAUUCACCUCUUAAAAUUGAAAACCACCAUCAAUCACCACUGCCCAUAUCUAAAUAUAGUUCUUUUUAGAGAAAGAAUUGUUCAUCGUUAGAAACUUACAAGUGGUGUCAUCGGCUCAAUCCAAUAUAAAUGGUGUGAAUUGCACCUGUCAUGUUUACUCUAUUUCUAAUAUAACAUAAUACCUUAAAUAUUAAAAAAAAAAAGAUGAGAUUUGUCUCAGUUUAGGUCCCAUCCAAUUUUACUAUAAGGAUUCUCCUACAAAUAAAAAGUGUGGCAAAAGAGUAAACUCCCACUUUUGUAUGGUACUUGUUCUCUAAUGAACACGUCCCACACCUUUAACAGUUUAAUAAUAUUCUCUUCAUCGACCCGUCGUAUCAUCCCCAAUCCUUAUCACCAUUCUCAUCUUAUUUUUAAGAGCUAAGUCACAAUGUCUCAUAAAACUAAGGAUAAUGUCAACAGAACACGCAAAUAGCAUGUGUCUAGAGAAUUGUGGACAUCAAGCAAACUCCAAUUACAAAUAUAAUACCAUUUCUAGGUCAAAUUUUGCUUUUGCGUGUCACAAAUGCAUUUUCUUGAAUAGUUCAAGGGGGGGCACCACUGGCUCAAAAUUACUUUGCUCUGGAAAUGCAUGUUGUUAUUAAAGUGAAUACUAAUUUCUAAUAUCUAAUUCGCCUCUUAAGAAGCAUGCCCAUGCUAAAAACGAACGCCAAUAAUUUACAUUAACAUACCUCUAGAAAACCUAUCUGACAAAAGUGGGUACUGACAGCUAUAUAAGUUCCAUAACGGUGGAAUACUCCACUCACUCUCUUUGCCAGGUGAGACACAGGCUUAAUUAAGUCCGACUGCACAGUUCAAACAGGGAAUAUCUGAACUUAAUGGUGCAAGGAAUUAAAUAUAAUGAGGAUAAUCUACAUUCACUAGCACGUUCCUUAACGACUAAACCGGCUGCGUAGGGUUGCCUCUCAGAAAUUUCAGCCGAAUCUUUCAAAAAACUAUCAACCGUACCUUAUUUUGCUUUGGGUAAAUCCUAAAGAACUUGACCAUAGGAUGAACUCCCAAGAAAAAACAACUCACUAGAUAUGGCUCCUUGGUGCUUAACCGAGCAUGGCUGGGUGUCCGCUUUUAUCGAGAAUCGCACUGCUAAGCCGUUCGUGCGACUGGUUGAGUCUUGCUGGAGGCCCAGCCACUGACCAGUAGCUUUGGCUACUUGCGACCUCUGUCAUGGACAUCUCAGCCUUGUUCCUCUGGAAGUCUGUGCCAUGUCAAACUGCAAAGUCCCUCGUCCACGGGUUCUUUAAUACAUAUUGAGUCGCGGCUUGAUGUAUCUGUGGUCAAGCUCGGGACGCUAAUCCAAUAAAAAGUUUAAAUAGAGUUCUGUGUGUUUGGAGUAAAUGCUCUUUUAAAAUUUCGGUGCUUGAACGUUAUCGGAUACUGUCACUGAUCAGCUAAACUUUCGGGGGAAAAAUAAAAAGUAUUGGCCGUCUGGGAUUUUGUCACCAUCUUUUAGUAAUUAAAUGAUCACCAUCUUUUACUAAUUAAAUGAUCUCUUUUAGCAACGAAGUUAAGCGGUACUUUUUGACUUAUGCAAAAAGAAACGGUGCCAGUCUCAGGAAACGGACAUACGUAUCUUCACUCUUUUGUUUUGGUAAAAUACACGAGUAGAUUUCUCCAGAAACUCUCCUCUGGCAGAGUUUGCCAAAAGAUACUGCCCAGCAACAACAACCUAUAUGUUAGAAAUCUUAAUCUAACAAUAACACCGAGAAAGGAAGUCAAUUAUUUUAUUUUUAGUUGGCCUAAAACCAACUCUUUUCCAAUUCCCAUCUAAAUCUAAAAUAUUAUUUAAAUACUAUCACCUUUUGAACAUACAUGACAAGAGAAGUUUCAUUUUUAAAAGCAAUGAUUAAACACUUGAUAAGAGAAUUUAACGAAUUGAGGGAAUCGGGUUCUUCCUUAGCUACUUAAGUUAUCCAUGGGCACUCUUUAACAUUUGUAUGUUUUAAAAGUUUCACGUAUUUCACCUUGGAUAAAAGUCAAAAUUCAUACAUUACAAGAUUCAGAAAAAGCAGAAGGUAAAACAUGUUUCGUUUUCAAUUUUUUAAAGCAAGAAGCAUUGUUGUUUUUGUUUAAAAUAUUGUUUAAAUUUCAAAAGAUUAUGAAUAUAUUAUAUGUGAGUUAAAAUGUCAACAUAUAUGCAUAGCGAGAGGUAAAAAGAUGACAAAUUGUGUAAGUCUAGGAUUUAGAAAACCAAAAAUAAAAAAUAAAAAGUCAAUUUAGACACUCGAUUGAUUUGAUAUGCAGGGGUCUCCUUCAGUUUUCCACAUGAUCGGAUAUCUUUGCCCCCAUGGCUGUCCCUCUACAUGCACAAGUGAACUGUUUAAAACCUUACUGAGCUCAAGGUUCCUUCAAUUGCACUGCAAGGCUUUAAGGGGAGACUUUAACGAACUGUUUUCUGAAUUAAGAUGGCUUCGAUGGUUAGGCGUUGAACCCAACAAGUCUUCUUUGGCAAUCAAUUUACAUCUACCUAAACUAGUGGUGCUAGAGUUGUCACGAAACAAGCUCACAGAGGAUUGGAGCGGAUGGAGUUUAAUCAUGGUAAGAUUGAAAAAAAAAACAUUCUCUGUGAUCUUUGCUUUGUAUUGUCUUGUCCAUUAAACUCCUUUUUUGACAGCUUAUUCUCCUUUGUACAGGAGGCAGAGGGACUAAGAGUUCUCGACCUUUCAGGUAGCGUUCAUUUAAAAGGUACUCCUAAUUUCUCAGCUUUCACAAAAUUGGAGAUUCUUAUGUUGAGCAAUUGUCAAAUACUGAAGAAAGUCUGCCCUUCUAUUGGCAAAGUCAAGAGCCUUGUUUCCUUGGACUUGAGAGGCUGUUCCUCUAUCAGAGAGCUACCAAAGGAAGUGGGUGAAUUGCAAAACCUAAAAGAACUUCUUUUAGAUCAAACCCUUAUUAGAGAGAUUCCUUCGUCAAUCAGUUCUCUGAGGAUGCUAAAGAAACUAAGUGCCUUGAAUUGUUGCUCGUUGGUUGGAAUCCCUUCAAUUGGGAAACUUACUUCUCUCCAACACCUCGACCUAGGUGGGUGUUGGUCAUUGAGAGAUAUCCCUAACUUAGAGAAUCUUUCUUCUCUCCAACAUCUUAACCUCUCUGAAUGUUGGUCAUUGAAGAAACUCCCUGACUCAAUUGGGAAUCUUUCUUCUCUAGAAUACCUUGACCUCUCUAAUUAUUUCGGUAGGCAUUUUAAUCAUCGACCUUUUUGCUCAAGUCCUUUAUCAUCGGGAGUACUCACUAUUUCCCAGGCGAACAGUUUUCUCGGAGAAGCUGAUCUAAGCCAUCUCAAGUUUUUGACAGAAAUCCCUUUCUCAAUUGGGAACUUACAGAACUUACAAUAUAUGGACAUUAGUUUUUCUGCUAUUAAAGGGUUCCCCCGUGCUAUUGGAAGGCUUGAAAAACUACGGAGGCUAAUUUUUAAAUCCAGCGAUUAUGAGAGAGUGGGAUUUAUAGAAACACUCUGUAAAAAAUUUCCUUCGCUUUUCAACAUCAUUCACACAUUCCAAUCUAUGCAGAAACGUUCUCUUCUCGAUUUUCUUCCCAGAUCCCAUGAUGAUCUCCGAGUGUUGUUACGGACUUCUUCCGGCUUAACAUAUAUUCAUGUCUAUUACCCGAUUUGCAGAUUGCCCCGGCUUUCUUGCCUAAAAGAACUAGAAGAACUUCAUCUUGAUGGAUGCAAUGAACUUGAGUACAUCCCAGAGCUUCCCCCAAGCCUCUUGAAACUUUGUGUUGACUCCUGUCCUAAGCUGAUAUUGCCUGAGUUUGACAAAUUCAAGUACUUGGAAGAGUUGUCAAUAAAACGCUACAAUUCCAUUGAAAGAAUGGACAUCUCAAAAUUGAAUCGUCUGAAAGGAUUGGACAUUGAGGAUUGCGAUAAUCUAGUUGAAAUUCAGGGCCAAGGUAAAUUAGAGUUCUUGGAGACUAUAAAUAUAUGUAGGUGCAAGUCCAUUGAAAGGCUGAUCCUUCCAAAAUUACAGUGUUUGAAGCGACUACAUGCUCUCUCUUGCAACAAUCUUGUUGAAAUUCGAGGUCUUGAUACAGAGUUGUUAGAGGUGUUGGAUAUCUCUGAUUAUCGGUUAAAUGCUGACUUGCCAAGCGUACUGCUCCCGAAUAAUAAGUUGGAAAAGAUAGUUUUAUCUGGCUUGUGUUUGAAGCAAUUAAAGGUUCACUCUUGCGAUAAUCUAGUUGAAAUGCAAGGUCUUGAUAAGGCAGAGUUGUUUGAGUCCAUUGAAAGAAUUCCUGACUUACCAAGCUUCGUGACCCUGAAAAAGUUGGAAAAGCUAGUUUUAUCUGGCUGCAGGUCCAUCAAGAAGCUGAUCCUUCCAGAAUUGGUGUGUUUGAAGCAAUUAAAGGUUGACUCUUGCCACAAUCUAGUCGAAAUACGAGGUCUUGAUAAGGCGGAGUUGUUGGAGGAAUUAGAUAUCUCUGAUUGUCGGUCCAUUGAAAGAUUACCUGACCUAUCAUGCUUCGCAACCCUAAAAGAGUUGAAUAUCAAUGAGUGUUACAAUCUACGUGAUAUUGAGAGCCUUGAGAGAUUCUCGUCUUGCCGAAGCAUAUAUAUAGAAGGGUGCAAUUCCCUAGAAAAAUUACCGAACCUAUCGAAAUUUGAAAAUUUAGAGCAUUUUACAUUGAUGGAAUGCUUUGUUACAGAGAUUCCUGGGCUCGAGGAGUCAGUAUCUCUGAAACAUGUAAGGAUUAUAGAAUGCAACGAAAUUGAGACUUUGCCAGAUUUGUCGGGAUGUAAGAAGUUGCAUGCUCUUGUGUUACACUGCAUGAAACUCACUCAACUAAAAUUACCUGAAACAAACGCGGCCUGUAGUUGUGAUCCAUGGUAUGAAGAUGUUGAGUGCAUUAUUUUGCGAUAAUAAUGAGGUGAUAAUUCUUAAGCUACAACAAUAAGACGCGUCAUGUUUCCUUAGUAGAGGUAAGCAAGUACGCUAGCAUUUUUUUUUUUCUGAGAUACAUAACCUACUUGUGAUUACUAUCUUCUUUUAACAAGGUCUUCCUUGACAGGUUUUCGUACUUUCCUGAAUUCCAAGUCUCACAUGGGGUAGUUGGUCGUGGAAGCUGACAUGAUGCUUCGGCCCAGAUAAAAUUGUAGAUCCAAGUGUGAUUCUUCGUACAUUAGAAGGCAUCGGUCGUCCGGUAAGAUUCUUCAUCCCUUAACAAUUAGCAUGAGCGAACAGAGUAAUAAUUUUCUCAAGGAUAUAUCAUUUAAGAAUUUUUGCUCAACAUUAGGUAUCGAUUUGAUCUGGAUUUGCCUAAAUAUAUAUCCUAUUGAUUGCAUUAUGGCAAUGUAUUUUCGGCUAUACUUUCAUUGGCAACUUUUGCAGACAGAUUGGCAGCUUGCGAGGCAACAAAUGAAAAUAUCAACAUAGGUAAACAAGAAUUACUAGCGAUUCACAGUUUCCCUCUUGGUAAACCUAAGAUGAAAUUUUUUCAUAAAGAGGCUGAUGAUCUACUACUCAAUAUUAUAAACUGCGCCCAGAUCCCUCUCUCUCUCUCUCUCUCUCUCUCUCUCUCUCUCUCUCUCUCUCUCUCUCUCAAACUAGCAUUUUCCUUAAAAAAAUCCUUGGUCAUUUUGAACUCCUUUUGUGAGCAGUUUUAUGUGUCAAAUUUGACUAAUGGUAGAUAUCCGGUUUAGAACAAACACCUCUCGAUUUUUCGUGAUGAUUGGAAAGCCUGUCAAGUUUCUUAUUGUUCAUUCAAGUAUGAAUUCUGAAUAAGGAAGAGAAACUGAGCUAAAAUAAAAAUCAAGGUUCAAGUUUUUCUGGUGGGUGAUUUAGCAAAAUGAAAAUUAGUUUUGGCUGGCCUGUUUCAUAAAUAUUUGUAGAAAGGCUUUCCAUAACCAAUUGCCGAAGUGUUGGUUUGAAAAAUUAUCAAGUGAAGUAAGUUGGUGCAGCUUUUGUGACAGCUCUGGCUGGUCUAUUUGAUGGUCAAGGCCUACCUUUGUACUUCAAUUCAAAUGACCUAUUGCAUGAUUGGAACAAUUUUUUGCCUGUUGUCUAAAACUAGCUAGGCGUGGCAUUUGUGAUUUUGCUAAUUAGUUUGCAUCCUGUUUGAUCCUGUUGUUGUCGUAGAAUCAUUUCAUUGCAUGAUUGAUCUCGGUUUGGCUAACUUGGCUUAGGAAAUUCAAAUUCCAUACCAGAGACCGAUCAAAAUGAAGAAGAGAGAUUUUGCCAAGGAAUCAUGAACAACAGCUGAGGGCAAGCUUUUGUGCCGACCUUAAAGAGGCUCACAGGCCAACUGGAGUGUCCUGAGGAAGUGUUUUAUACCUGUGAAGAUUAAAGCGCUUGAUCUGGUCUCAAAGGCACAUAACCGAGUGAUUGAGAACAAUUUUUUUUUUUCAAUUGAACCUGCUUUUGGUAUGCUUAUUAGGUUUUACUUAAUCAAGUAUCGAAGUGCUCAAUUUUCUGCAUGUUGCCCUGAUGCAGAGUUCUUUGAUGCAAUUGUGUUCUAAUGAUAUCAUUCCCGAACUCAAUCAGGCUCUGCUGAUAAAGGUAUGCACUGCCUGUCCUACCAUAACUAAUGAGAGAGUAACUUGUCUGCCUAUACUUAAUUGAAUGUGCUUCCUAUAUGCUUGUUAGGUUCUACCUCUCUGUUAAUCAACUACAUACCUACUGAUAUUCUGCGUGUUGACCUGACACAGGUGUCUGAUACUGUAUCGUUCUACCGAUAUCACUCUCAAACACAAUGAGGCUCUGCAAAGGUUGGUAUGCACUGCCAGAUAUACCAUAACUGUGAUAGAGUAACUUGUGCGCUUAUACUAUAUCAGCUGUGGAAUUUCACUGGAAAAUCCAUAAACUAGGAUGCAUGAUGAUAAUAUCCUCUUUUCUGUCAGUUUCUAAUAUCCUUUGCAUGUUGUGAUAAAGGUCUCUGAUACAACGAGCUUAGAUCUCAUGUAUGCGGUGUAGAAUUUGUUAAGUUAAAUGUAGUCUCCUAGCAAACAAUCCCUUAUUGCUGAUUUUGCUUAUUAGAUAUUGCAAAAUAACCAAGUGACAAAUGCAUCUUUCUGUUUUGUAGUUUGGGCACUUCAACUUUUCAACAUCGGUUCUGUUGCCAAGCACAAACAAGGAAGGUGGUGCUAUUUGCUUACUUCUCUCCUCCUAUGUUGUUUUCUUUUUCUUUGCUUGAUAUUGAAGUCUCCGUUGAGUGCUAUCCCAAUGCAAGCUAAUCAGAGACGCGUGUAAUGUGUAGCAAAAACAAUGUCCCCAGGUUUUGGUGUUGACACAAGUAUUUCAUUGAAGAGGAAAUUAAUAGAUCACCAGAAUCUGGACCAGGUCAAAGUAAUCUUGUUUAUAUUAAUGGACUCUCAAGUCUUUGCUUACAACUUUCAGCUAAUUUUGGACGCUCCAUACAAAAUACAUCUAAAAAUAGAAAGAACUAACCAAGGAUCAAUGCAGUCACGCCAAUAUCUCUCGUUGAGAUGAUUGGAAAGUGUAACACAGUUUACUCUCAGCCAUCUCGUGUACCUCAUGCAUCAUCCUCUUUUCUUGACCAUUUUUAACUAGUGCUCUGGUGGAGUUUAGUCAUAAGUCUCAUAAGGUUGAAUUUGCUAGUGUUCGUAACUUUUGAUGAAUAUGAUAAGUGAACCUGAAUUUAUCGUACAAUAAACAACCUGAAACUAUCGUACAUUCUUUUCCUGAAUCUUUUACAAGGUUCAUAUAAAGCUACUAGAAUAAUUAAUUAUUUUCAAACUCUCAUGGGACAACAGCUAUUAGGAAGCCAAUGAGUGUGAGACCCACUUACAAGGUUUAUAUUUGAUGAUGCAGAAACUUUUGCAUGACUUGCCUCGAAGGACACAACCAAGACAAGGCAACAAAAUCUCACCAAGGAAUGAUAAAGGCUGAAAGAAUAAGAGGAAGAAGAACUUUGCGCCAUCUUUUUUGUGAUCAGUCUUUACAACUUUCUGGUUGUGUUUCGUAAGGCUGUUUGAAAGUCUUUGUUCAUGAAAUUUUGAACCCCGUGUUCACUUUCUGGCAAAGAUCUUCAAUUAUUUUUAUAGAAGCCAUUGGUCAUCAUGGUCAAGGAAGAAGGAAAUGAAGCGGAAGAUGAAGAAGGUUUUAUUUGUGCAAUUUUGUUUAUUUCCUAGUUAGUAAUGCCAUAUGCCUCAACUGAGUUGACAACAAAAUGUGCUGAAAAUCUCAGAAAAUCGAAAGAGAAUGUAUUCCAAGUUCGAACACAACAGAAGGAUUGCAGCUACCCCUACUACCAGGACCUUAUGUGGACUCGGCUGCCGCCUCCUCUGUGGUAUAACUGGUAUGAUGAUUGGUUCAUGAAAUAAUUGAUAUAAUGCCAAAGUGCUUAUUUACAAGUCCCCUCUAUUCAUUCAGUAGUAUAAGCUAGCACGAGUUCAUUUUUUCAUUCUCAUAUCAGCAUUAGCAUCACAGAGUUGGGUCUUCCAAUUCCCAAGGAAUUGAAUGUUGUUUUUUGGUUCCUUUUUUUUUUCCUUUGCAGAGUUUUGUACCGAUAAACUGUCAACGCUCCUUGCGAUAGCCUUCGAUGAUUGUGGUGUACACGAUCCCAUCUAGCGCCCAGCCUCUUUCUUCCAAAUUCGUCAGCAAUCGAACGGCUUUCCUAUUAUUGCCGGUUCUGCACAAUCCCCCACCAUGACUCCGCAUGUGGCUAUAUGUCCCCCGAUUUAUCUGGCAACCAUUACAUCUGCCAGGCUCAUGGCUUCGGCAAUUUAAUCCUCUCCGACAAGGCCAUUGAUCGAAGUGUUACAGCGCACGGAAGUGGGUUCAAGUGCAAGUUCGACCAUUUUACACAAAACUGAGAACCCGGGAUCGAAUCUUUUCAAUUGGCAGAGGUAAUUCAUCAAAUUGCUGCGAGUAAAAACAUUGGGAGUCGUUCCUUUCGAAUCCAUCCGCUCGAUCAUGUCAAUGGUGACAUUCGAGCGAAACAGGGAGGUGAAGGCAAAUGGUUCAUCCGAAUCGUCCUCUUCAAGUAGAACAAAGAGUCGGCAGCUUCCACCAAUGCACCAUUUUUGCAUUUGUUCGCCAGAAAGGCCACAGUUCGGAUCAUGCUUUGAAGAUCGGCGCCGUUCUGACAAUUCUGGAGUACAAUAUUAUUUUGUUUCCUUCCCUUCCACCGAUAAAAGGAGAAGACGUCUGGAGCUCGAGAUGCAGCAAAAGGAAAGAGCUCAAGAGAGAGCGAAAAGAAAGAGCUCGAGAGAGUGUGAGAGUCGAGAGAGCUCAGAGAGGCUUUGUGCUGAGUCGAGUCCAUUGAGUUGUUUUGUUAAACACCGUGGGUAUCGGGUAUAAGGGGCUGGGAAACACUUGAGUGCAUGUGUGAUUGUAAUUCUGUAAUUCUCCGAUUUAUAGUGGAUAUAUUUGCUGACUUUCCUCGUGGACGUUGGUUCCGAUAUUCAGACCGAAUCACGUAAAUUUUUAAUGUCCUUAUUUUUCUUGUUCCUCGUUUUAUUUCGAUCGAUUUUUAUAACUCCCGUCAUAAUUGCAAAAUUACAAUCCGCUUCUGUUGCGACACGAUUACAACAGAGAGGAUGAUUGUUAGGCAGUCCAAUCACUAAAAACUUUAGAUGUCUGAUAAUAACAUAGUUUUCAGUUCAAUCAUCGGAAAUUAUUUUGAUUGUCAAACUGAACAUUUCUAGAAAUACUCUAACCGAUUCAUUCCCAUCAGUUUCGCAUUUUGCAGUUUGAUAAGAUGUUUGUCCCGAACACGUGCUUGAAUCUGCAAGGCAGUUGAAGAGAGGUCAGUAUGCAUAAUUAGAAUGGAUCGAUAUCUCACACAACGACGACGACUAAUACUAGUGGAGUCAAAGUAUGGCCUGUCGAAAUAAACGUAUCUAGCCUUAUUACGAUCAGCCAAAAAAAUGAGAAAAUAAUACGAACGUUGCUACUCUUGUCGUUGUGUGCACAGAACGUAUUACAUUAUAUCAAUUUAACAUUUUGUUUUUGGUCUAUUCGAUAUUAUUCCAUUCUACUUUCUUUCCAAUACCUCUCAAGGAAAAUCCCGAAUUGGAUUCAUAAAUUGAUGGGUUAGUGUGAGCUUAUUCAUGCAGUUAUGCACUCUUCCAAUAAGAAUCCAUGUUUUGAAAGAUCCUAGCCUUGAGGCAGGCAUCCUGUCUCAUAUAUUGCAAAAUGACGUCACCGGAAAAAAAUUUAUAUGUAUUUUUGGGCUGGAUGGUUUACAUGUGAAGUACAUAACUUCAUGAAAGAGCAUUAUAUUUCGUUCUUUUCUCCGAUGGCGUAGGUCUGCUUAUUCAGUGCAUAAGCUCUAAACAUGUAAAGACCGUGUUAAUUCACCUAGUUGAAGUGAGUUGAGGUGAGUAAGAGAUGGCUCAGACACCAAUUGGCUGCUAUAUUAGAAAAAAAAAAUGCUAAUGGAUUAAGAAAAAUUGUACGCUGUAAAUCUGGACUGCGAAAUCCAUUGUUUGUCUUUGAUAAUGUGGUUUUGCAAAAAUCGAUUCCAUAACAUGCGCUUAAUCCACAUGCGCAAGUUCCUUGUGAAUCACAAAACCAAUUGCAUGAGUAGUGUCAGGAAAAAAAAUCAUGAGUUAUGACAUUUGAAUGAACGAAAAUGAAAACAUUCUUUUUCCCCACCUUCAAAUUGUCCCCAUUUUCCCAGAGAGUAUAGUUUACAAUUCGUUUCUCAUCUUAAGGAUAACAAUCGUGCAUGAUAGCAAUCGUGCAUGAUAGCGCAAAACAGACGUAGAAUUUUAACCAAUAACUCCUUCUUUUAUGCUUAUCUUAUCAUCAUGUUGUUCAAUUGAGUAAAACACGCGACUAAUUAGCGAUUCCACAGUAUGAGGACAUGGAAAGACAAUAAUUUACAAUUUAACUAGACAUGAAACCGAACGUCACACGGAAAUAAAUUAUAAAAAGAGAAAACUAAUAAUUAUCAAUAAGGGAAUAAGUAUUGUAAAUGAUUCUUUUAUUCAUUUGCUCCCUAACAUAAAGGACCAUUUCAUGAAAGAACAUGAGUUGUCAAGUGUAAUUAAUGACAAUAAAAGGCAAGUCUUUGAGGUGAAGAGACCAUGACAAACGGUCCAUAAUGAAAUGUAAAUAUAUGCCUAGGUGGAGCUUUUUUGGUGGAGAAUACAAUAAAUCCGAGUUUUGCAAUAUGAAUAACACUUCUCUAGUUAUCUUAAAUCUUAUGCGUCAUUAUGGGAAGUGAUGCUUUAGCAAUACUCUGUUAUUACAUGUUUAUAUAGAAUGAGACCAUAUAGAAUUUGUAAUACCCUGUAACUUAAGGAUUCCGCAUGAACGUUUUCAUGGUACAUCGAUUUUUUUUUUCUUCUAGGUUUUGCCGGAUGGGGGAGUCCAGGUAAAAACUAGUUGUGCGAUGUAUGAGUCUUACCUAGAUCAUAAGACAAACUUCAAUUGAUGCAAAAACAACCCUUCACAUCAUUAAGUGGAAAGUAUACAAUAAUAGGUGCAAGAUAGACCCAGCUAGCUAAUUGCCGAUAUAUCUCAUAACAAAUUAGCAGAUAUUUCAAUGGAAAAUGCAUCUAAAAGUGUAAGAACUCAGAGAAAAUCUCAUGGAUCGAUGUAGCAGCAUAAUAGUUGAUUUUUUUGGAUAGAUUUACUUGCCAAAACUUGUCGGAAAAAGAAAUCCUACCCACAUAUGGAAGGUGCAUAUCGCCAGUUUUUUCGUUCGAUAUAUAUAUAUAUAUAUAUAUAUAUAUAUAUAUAUAUAUAUAUAUAUAUAUAUAUAUAUAUAUAUAUUCAGAGAGUGCAUGCAUCUUCCAAUUUUUUUUUUUUUUUUUUGUACAUCCAUGUACUAGAGAUUCUGCAUUGGCAGAUAGAAGAAGCGUUGUGCAGUAAUUUCAAAUUAGGGAAAAGACCAUAAAAAAAUCACAAACUUUAUCUAAAGUGGCAAAUUUACCUCAAUUUUUUUGUUUGUGACAUGAAAAAUCCCAAACUUUGCAAACUAUGACACAUUUACCCCAUCAAUGGUAUUUUCGUUUUUUUUUUCCUAUUUUUUCCUAUUUUUUUCUUUUUUUCUUCUUCUUCUCUCUUCCCUCCGCGGAGGGAAGCCCGUGUCUAGUGAGGGCUGCCCUCGCCGGCAUCGGGGGAGGGUCGCUCUUGUCAAACUUGGGCGAGGGGUGCCCUCGCUGGCACCGAGCGAGGGCCGUCCUCACCCAACGCAGGCGAGGGCGGCCCUCAUCAACCCUAGCUAGCCUAGGCGAGGGCGACCCUCACCCAAUGCUAGCGAGGGCAGCCCUCGCCGAAUGCUGGCUUCCCUCCGCCAUGGCCAGCAGAGGGAAGAGAGGAGAAGAAGAAGAAGAAAAAAUUUAAAAAGUAAAAAAACCAAAAUGUUCUCUAGUUUAGGGUAAAUAUGUUAUAAGGAUAGAAGUUCAGAGUUUUUUGUGUCAUGAAAAAAAGUUUAAGAUAAAUAUAUCACGGUUGGCAAAUUUCGGGUUUUUCAUGUCACAAAAAAAAGUUUGAGAUAAAUGUGUUAGUUUGAGUAAAGUUUGGGGUUUUUGGUGGUUUUUUUCCUUUAAAUUAUUGGGUGAAGUUAUGAAUCCAACAGUCCGAGGAUGGUAUAGAAUAGGUCUUGGAUGAAGAUACUAAUCAACAUCCUUUUGUUCCUAUACGUAUUUUCUAUUGGUUACUUUUUAAGUCAAUGACACGUGUACAGUUGCUACUACAUUGAGCAUUUCCAGAUAUGCAAAGAUUAGUGAAAAUGAUUAAUGUACGUUGUUGGGUCUUGUUUGGUUUAAUUAAUAAGAAACUAAUAAGUGAANNNNNNNNNNNNNNNNNNNNNNNNNNNNNNNNNNNNNNNNNNNNNNNNNNNNNNNNNNNNNNNNNNNNNNNNNNNNNNNNNNNNNNNNNNNNNNNNNNNNAUUUCUUUUUUACUUUCCAGGGGUUUAUACCAAUAAAUUGUCGAAUCUCUUUUUGCUUUGUCAAAAUGUCACAGUCAGCAUUAAAACUGAAUUGCAUUUUAAACUUAUUAUUGAUAAGAAAAUUUGACAGUAGAUUCACUUAUAACGUCUCAGCUAGAAAUGUCCAUCAGUUUUCCGACUCAGCUGAUUGAGAGGGAUGACAGAGUCCUCAUCGCUCAAGUUCUACCUAGAUGUCUGUUAUGGCACUGAAAUUGAAGCGUAGCUGGAGAUUAUUUCUUCAGUGCCAGAGCUGUCAUUGUGUGUCAGCAAUAUAUCGAACUGUCUAGAUUCCAUGCUGAUUGGAUGAUACAACUGUGUUGUCAACAUGGAGUAGUUUGGUGGCACUUCGCAGCUUGAUCUAGGGCUAUUCAACUCGGUGCCAUUCAAUGGAUUUCCACUAAUUUAUGUAAUUCUUGAACGUAUAUUUCCAUGGAAGGUUCUUCCGUGCUUUUCCUCAUAAAUGCUGAGGAAAAUCAAUGCCAUACAUAGCAAUACAUUGCCUCAGUCCCUUCUUUAUAUGAGCUAUUAGAUUGGCUGUUCUAGUUAUGGUUGAUUAGUUUUUGACGCAGCUAUUCACAGUGACGCAGUUCAUGGAGGUUGUAAUUGUUGUUGUCAUAUGGUGAGGACUGCAGGAGACUGUCGAACUACCCAUCUGGUCCCUGAUUUGCUGAAUCAUUAUUACAAUCUUCCAGCUGACAGGAUAAUUGGGCAUCCUAGCAAAUUGUCAGCUGAUCAUUUAAGCACAUGUCGAGAUUUUUGCAAUUUUAGCAAAAUAAUUUCAGACAGCACUAGUGCUUCGAGAAAUCUUGUUGACAUUGGAGAGUUUCUCAAACCUCUUGUUAGAGAUGCUAAAUUCAUUUUUCAAUGACAUGCUUGGCAUCAGUACGUAGAAAUUCAUCUACACUACAUUUAAUAUGAGACUGGUAAAAAUUCUGUUUCUUGAGAGUAUUAGAAAAAACAGGGGGAAGUAGAGUAGAGUGGGACCAUAACAAAUGUUGAUUGAAAGAAAAAUCUAGUGCAAUUCCAGACAAACGUCAUUAGUCGAGAAUGCAGUUCCAAAAUACCAGCCAAAACCGGCAUUUCAUACGUGCAAGUUGCCCUAAAAAUGUCACCUUCAAAUCAUUGCCUAAUCAAUCCAAUGGUCUUUUGCAGCUGGCAGCCUCUCUAUAAAAUUACUUUGCAGGUGGUGACAUCAAGCCUGCGACCUGCACCCUGGAGCCUCCUUCUGUCAUUGCAUUUGAUCAGAUGAAGCCUGCAGCCUCUUUCCGUUAAAUUCAUCAGAAAUCUGACGGCCUUUGCGGUGUUGCACGGCCCCACAGCCAUGACUCACAUUGGCUAUAUAUCCUUUGGCAAACAUUUCAUCCACCAAACUCAUGGCACGGCUCGUGCAAUUUAACCUUUUCCUUAAAACCCAUUGAUCAAAGGGGAAAGCUCACAACAUCUGGUUCGAGUCCAAGCUUGAAGACUACUCAAAACAGAGAACCCAAGAUGAGAUAUUUUCAAGUGGCAAGAGGCAAUUUAUCAUAAUCUUGAGAUUAAGGGUGUGUGCGUCAUUGCAGCAACCUCUGAAAGUUAAAACAUACUAAAUUCUACGGCAAGUUUACAGAAAACAUUGAAAAGACAGUUAAAGGAAAGAGCCGUGCUCAAUCUAUUACUAGGAUUAAUAGCCCAAACAGACGUUAAAAAAGAUCUCAUUGUAGCUUGGCAGAUUCAUUUUUCAUACUCUUAUACCAUCAGCAUCAUAAAGAUUCUUUGCUGGUCUUCCGAUUCCAAUGGAAAUGAAGAGAUAUUAGGCAGGCAUGCCUUAAUUCCCUCAUGGACUGCCUAAAUUUUCUAAAUGCAUGUACCUUUUUAUCUUCUGCAAGUUGGAAAAUGCUAAAUCUAUAGCAAGCUUCUAGUGAAACACAGCUAAGGAUACGAACCAUGACACAAUCCACUACAAAGAUUAAUAGCCUGAAGGUUCAAUGAGAAAACAGAUGUAAGAAAGAGCUCUUGUUGUAGUUCGGUGGAGUUCUGAAGAUGGUGAUGAACCUACGUGAGUUUCAUUGGCAGGAGACUCAUAGAUGACGCAAUGUGGACCGGUCAUGUUUGUGUUAGUGUUCUCUCAAGUCCAUGCAUACAACUUUCAGCUAAUUUUAGAGUCUUCAUACCCAAUAUAGCCAAAACAGACAGAACCAUGGAUCAAUGCAGCCGCUCCAAUCCUCUCUCAUCGAGAUAAGAUCUCUCUACCAUCAUAUCGUGCAACCAAUGCAUCGCCCUCAAUUUCUGACCAUUUUUAACAAGUGCUCGGGUGGAGAGUGUCCCUUCUCUUUCAUUUCCUGAAGCAGCUCAUAGGCAUCACUCAUUCGGUUGGCUUUACAUAGCCCUGCAAUUAUAGCACCAAAUAACAAAGCAUCAUGUUGCGAACCUUUCUCAGGCAAAGCACUGAAGAGUUCUAUAGCAUCUUCAAGUUUCCCUGCCUCACAAGCCGCUAAUAAGGGUGUCAUAGCUGAUGAUAUGGACAUUUCCAUCUUCCACUUGUCUAUACAAAGCAAUUGGCUAGUGAACCUGGUGACAUUACAAAGAUCAUCUAACAUUGUUGAUUGUUGUUGAUUUAAAUGAUCGCAACUAGCUAGAAUUUUGUAAAACAAAUGCGCAACCCAAGGCAGUUCAAUGGAGAAAAAGCCACCCCCGAGAUAGUUAUAGGUAGCAACAUCAGGGACUGAUCCAUUCUCUAACAUUCAUGAAUCAAUGUUAGACUGGUUGUGGGAGAAAGCGAGCAGUUUUGUGCAAUCAUCAAAUGAAAUGUAGCGGGUGCAUCAUCCAUCUAAUUUUAAUAACAGUAACCACCAAGUAAUGAAUUAUAUGCAACUAGGUCGGCGUAAAUCCUCCUCAGAUCAUCAGAUCAAAGAUGCACUUUGCCUUGGUAGCCCUGCCCACCCCACUUUGCAAAGUGCAUCCACAAUGAUACUGAUGGUUCGAACAUCUGCCAUCGUUCCUCUUUGCAGCAUCUCAGUUAACGCAACUGAAGCCUCUUCCCAGUGGCCACCACAGCAUAGGCCUUCGAUUAAGGAGUUACAAGUGAAAACAUGUGGCCAGAUUCCAUUGCUCAUCAGCUUGUCCAACAAAACCUUUGCUUCUUUCCAUUAACCUAUGCAAGUUGAGCAAGGGAUGACAUUUGGGCAUCAGGCAUAGUAUUAUAGAACUUCAAAGCCUCUGUCCCGGUGCCUCCUAUGAUCGUGGUAUACAUGAUCACAUCUAGCUCCCAGUGUCUUCCAAAUUCUUCGGCAAUCGAACGGUUUUCCUAGCCUUGCCGGUUAUGCACAAUCUGUCACUAUGGCUCCACACGUGGUCAUAUCUACCUUGAUUCAUCUGACCAACAUUUCAUCCGCCAAGCUCGUGGCUCCGGCAAUUUUACCAUCCUCAACAAGCCCGUUGAUCAAAGUGUUAAAGGUCACACUUGUGGGUUCUAGUGCAAGUUCGUCCAUUUAAAUUGGCGGAGGCAACUCACCAAAAUGCUGCGAGUAAAAACGACGGGAGCCAUUCCCUUCGAAUCCGUAAUGCUCCGUCUUGGCCACAACCCCCAGGAGUUGGGUGGAAACAUGGAGGUGAAGGCAAAGGGUUCAUCCGAACCAUCCUCUCCAAGUAGAAUAAAGCAUCGUCGGCUUCCUCUGAUCCCGCCAUUUCAGCAUUUUUUUUUCGUCACAAAGGCCCCGCAUUCAGGUCGAUCCAUUGAAUUUCCUUACUCCAGCAGUGGUCGCGCAAGUGCGAGAGCAACGUGAAGGCAAACGGAUCGAGGGAGGGACGAAGGUGUGGACGGUGUCCAUCACUCUGCCACCUUCGUGGAGCGCGUACGGGAGGUGGGCCUUCAAACUGGCAUUAUAUCCUUUUUCGUUUUUCACAUUAUAUUCUAGAUUUUUAUUUUUUAUCUUUUCGCAUUAUACUUUAGUGGCAUUUUCAAAAGAAAUUCUUACCUUAUCUAUAAAUUUCAUCUACUUAAUAAUUUAUCCAUAAAUUAGAUUGACAAUGUAGAAAAGAACUAGAUUUCUUGGAAAUUUCUCUUUUCAACUAAAUAAAUGUUUAUGAAAGUAAUAUCUAACAAUAAAAAAAUAGUGUCUUUAUUACACAUGAAAAAUCUACAAUAAACAAAAAUUACAUAUACAUAUGAAAUUCUUAAUUAUGGUAAGGAGAUCUUACAUAUAUAUAGAAAAACUAUAAAAAAAAAGUAAAUAAAUUUGGGACCACCAAUUUGAAUUGCAAUUGAAAACAGAGUGCAAUUUUGUCUUCUUAAUGAAAACGGAGUGGAUUUAGUCAUAUAAGGGUAGAAGUAGCACCGCCUCAAUAAAUUGCAAAGAAAGAAAAAACAACUCACUAGACGUAUCUCUUUAGAGCCUAACCAAGUGCAGUUGGGUGAAAUCGUUCUGAUUGCGAAUUGCACUACUGCGCCAUUCAAGCAGCUGGUUGAGCCUUGCUGGAGCCUAGGGCAAAAAUCUCAGUCUGUUCCUUUAAACAUCUGUUCCAUGUGAAAACUCCAAAAUUGCGUCGGCACUAGAUCUAUUUGUGCUCGAGCUCGAGAUACUAAUCCAAAUAAAAAGUUCAAAAGGAGUUUUGGGUGCUUGGAGUUAAUGUGCUAGCUUUCAUUGAACACUCUCGAGGAUCGACUGAACGUUCGGAGGAAAAAAAACAUGAAGUACUGUUGUUGAAGUCAACCAAAGCCAUACGGGAUUUUUUUCUCACCAUCUUCUACUAAUUAAGGGUCUGUUUGUUUGUGUUUCUUUUUUUUGUUUUUCAACACUUUUUCUGUUUUUUUGUUCCUGAGAACAAAAAAGGAACAGAAACACGUUUGGGUGCGUUUCUGUUCCUUUUUUGUUCUUUUGUUCCCAGGAACAAAAAAGAAACAGAAAUAAGAAACAACAAAUUUGUGUUUCUUAUUUCUGAAACAAAACUUAGAAACUCUUUUUUAUUUUCUUCUUCUUUUUCUUCUUAUUUUCUUCUUCUUAUUUUCUUUCUUUUUUCUUUCGCCGGUCGCCGGCUCGGCAUGGCGGCGACCAGCCGACGAGGGCCGGCGGCCGUCCUCGUCGGCUCGCGGCCGCUGGGCGAGCUCAGCCUCGCCGGAUCUGGGCGAGUCGGCGUCGCCUGGCGGUGGCCUGGCAAGGCCGAGCUUGCCAGCCGCUGGGCGAGCUCGGCCUCGCCGGAUCUGGGCGAGAUCGAGCUCGCCCAGCCAAGGCGAGGCCAAGCCUCGCCGGGGNNNNNNNNNNNNNNNNNNNNNNNNNNNNNNNNNNNNNNNNNNNNNNNNNNNNNNNNNNNNNNNNNNNNNNNNNNNNNNNNNNNNNNNNNNNNNNNNNNNNNNNNNNNNNNNNNNNNNNNNNNNNNNNNNNNNNNNNNNNNNNNNNNGCGACCGGCCCAAAAGAAGAACAAAUAAAAAAGGAAAAAUAAAAAAAAUUAUACAAAUUAUACAAAUUUACCAAACGUGUUUUUGUUUAUUUUUUAUUCCCGGAACAAGUUUACCAAACGCGUUUUUUUGUUCAAAAAUUGUUCCCCGGAACAGAAACACUUUUUUCUAUUUCUGUUCCCUGGAACAAUUUUUAAACAGAAACGCAAACAAACGCACCCUAAAUGAUCAGUUUCAAAAGGGGAGUCAAACAGUAUUUGUCGACUUAUAAGAUGCAAAACGAUAUGGCGCCAAUAUUAUGCAAAACAUCGAGGUGGGCACCGACUUAGAUUUUUUUUUUUUAAGGCGAUGUAUAUUAUACAUUUUAUUUUCACGUCAAAAUUUAAAAGAAAAUUGUUUAAAUUUCAAAAGAUUAUAAAUUAAAUGGGAGUUUAGGUGUCCUACGGCGAGGGUAGAAAAUGGACAAAUUGCGCGAAUGCAUAAUUUAAUAAAUAGAAAAAAAAACUAAAAUAAUUAAAAAGCCAAUCUAGACACUAAGUCGAUUGAUUUGAUACACAGGAACUAAAAGGAUCAAAGCAAUUCGUCUAGGCAACGACUAUGACCAUUUUUGGGCAUACGAAAAUGAAUAGCUUAAAAGGUUACAGAGCCAAAGAUGACAAGUACCAAAUCUAGAGCAAAAUGGUGAAAACUCUUUAGUAUUCCAAAGCAAUACCAAUUCCAAUAAGGCACUAUUGAUAGAGAAAGAAGAAUACCAAAAGAAGCUUGGCAGUACGUGAGACAUCAUGUGGAUGAUAGCUAAAGCUUCAGUCAAGGUGCCACAAAGAUGUUGCUACGGAAUAUUCAGGCAGAAAAAUAUAGAUACACAAGCUGUCAUUUAUGGAUACAGGUAUAUCUUGACAAACAGCUCUUCAGAUGCAUGAUAACCAUAAAAUCUCCUUGCUCAUACAAGGCUGCAACCAUGCAUAUGUUGCCGUUUUACGCCAGCAUUGCCUUUGAGCUGCAGUAACUCACAAAACAAUCCUUUCAGAUACAAACUAGCAAGUGAAUCGCACAAUAAGUUAAAGCCAGGACUUAAUAUUUUCAAAGAAUGACAAAUUAUACCUUCAAGGCUUUCUCCAUGGCUAGAGAGACAGCAUUUGUAAAUGCAUCCCCUGUGCAAUUCAACAGUGACCAAUUAAUUCCAAGCCAGUAGCAGAACAGUAAGAGACUAGUUUAAAAAGGGACAUGAAUUCGAAAUAUAUAAAAGCACGAAUAAUUCAAACAAAUUGAGAUAAAGUCUACAGCAACAUUAUAUUAUGAGGACAUUGACAAAAACUGGUCAAGUAAAACCACAGCCAUGUUGCCAAAAGAACAUAUACCCUGAAAACACACAAGCUACAUGCUAGAGGUAUUGUGAACUGAGAGAAACGUUGAUUAAUUUCUUCAAACCAGGAUAUGCACAAAGCAGCCUAUGCAUCUGUACCACGCACAAGUACCUUCAGACGUUGGAUGGAUAGGAAUAUCUGUACAUGGUACAUACAAAUAGGGUAAAGCCUACAAGAAAAAAAAAAACAUAAUUUAGAACCAGUAUGAAAAAAAUGUACAAGAUAUUGCUGUCUCAUAAGCUAUGCCAUGGACAAGCAUCAUGUAUUUUUCACAAUAGAUUGCUUGGAGCCACGUAAGCUCCUCAUUUGUUAUUUAGACAUUCAACUAGUGUCCAGCCAGUCAAAGAAAGUAGACUAUUGCCAAUAUGGUGCCUCUUGCGAGCAGAAAGGGGAAGAAACUUUCUGCAUCCUGAAAUUGCCUUUUAUCUUGUAGCAUAUACAUCAACUCAUGUCUGUAAACCCAUGCUGGUUUAAAUUCUUCAUCGGCAGAAAGGAAGUUACUUUCAUUGCUCCACAGCUCAAGGGGGGUAAAGCAAGUACUUGGAACAAUUAAGAAACUACAAAUAAACGAGGACUACACUCACCUUAUGCACAUGUGAGCAAGUUUUUGACCAGCAGGAGUUGAACCAUCUACUCUUAUUACAGGAACCUCAUUCACUUUUUCACCUUCAUCAAUCAAUCAUGAACAAGAUUAUGAACAUACAAAAGUAAAUAUUUGUAGCUAAAUUUCUAGCUACUGUAUAGUAAAUGUAACUGUUAUUUUUGCAGGUUAAAGGUCAAAUCCUCGCACAGAAUUUUAAAGAUUGACAUGGCACUACGCCACAUAAAAACUGUAAGUGCACCUUCUUCUCUUUGCAUCAGCAACAAAAAAGCGAAUUUCAAAUACGUCAUCAUCAAGACAACUACGCUCUCCAAACAAAAAGUAAUCUUCAGUCUAGGGAAGAAGACGGUGAGUUGAACAAUGCCCACCAAAUAUUAAGAAAAAUAUUCAAUACUCUCUGGAUUUUCUAAGCAACCAAACCAAUCAUGUAAUAAAUUAUCAAGACACCAAUGUGCUGAUUCCAUGACUCUGUGCUACAAUUUUAAUCAAUCCUUACGUAUAUCCAUGCCAAGCAAUUACUUAACAUCAAUCCAGCAGCCCCAACAAGAAGUCUGAAUAAGACAUCCACGGACAAACUGAUAAGUUCUUCAUAACAGAACACUAAGCCAAGCAUAAUCCUUGCACUCAUAAGAAAGCAAACAAACUUUUGUCUGCAAUGCAGUAACUGAUUAAGUCCUACUAUAGCAAACAAAAUUAACAGCUUCCAGAUUCAAACCACAAGCUUCUCUGGCAUUUGCUACUCACCACUAGAUUCCAUAAUCAAAGCAGCGAACACAAAAAUUAUGCUUCGAAAGAUGAGAGCAGACUUUCAUUCUUUUUUUUUACCGAAGACGCUUUACAUACAUUUUAUUACAAUAAAAACAUAGAAUAACUUCAAAAGCAUCGCUGUUCCUAGGAGAAGACAACAUCAAGACCCAUUCUAAGACUCCAAUUAAGCCACAGCUCUAGGAAGCAGCAAGACCCAACAACAUUACUGCGUGGCAACUACCUAUUACCAUCACGGGCACAGUAAAAAAACGAGUCUUUCCAUCUGUUUUCGUGCUUCCCCUAAUGCCCAUAUUCCACAGUCUCAUUCUUUUCUACUAAAGACACGUUAGAUACAAAUUAUUACUAUGAAAACAUAGAAUAACUUCAAAAGCACCGCUGUUCCUAGGAGAAGACAACGUCAAGACCCAUUCUAAGACACCAAUUCAGCCACAGCUCCAUGAAACGGCGAGACCCAACAACGUUCCCACCCGCGGCUACCUAUAACCAUCGCGGGCACAGAAAAAGAACGAGUCUUUUCCAUCUGUUUUCCCGCUUCCCCUCUGGGAGAAGACAAUAUCAAGACCCAUUCUAAGACACCGAUUCAGCCACAGCUCCAUGAAAAGGCAAGGCCCAACAACGUUCCCACGCCGCGACUAUACAUAACCGUUACGGGCACAGUUAAAAAACGAGUCUUUUCCAUUCUUCUCCAAGCUUUUUCUAAUUUUUUCCCUCUCGCUUGCUCUCGUGCAGUGCAGUAACGGAACCCCGGAACAGGAAAAUGGAUCGAGAAAACUCUUUGGGCCGAUGAAUCAUUAUAAGUUACCUCGGAACGAUUAUUUUACUACUGUCAAAUAUAAUGAUAAAUUCCGACCAAAAGAAAAUUUUAAUGAUGGAUUCGGUCAAAAAAAUAUUUGAUGAUAGAACAAAAAUUGGCUUUAAUUUAUCUUAUUAAUUGGUUUUAUAUACUAAGUAAAUGCUAACAACAAUGUUCAAUUAGAGAUAUUAGUUAUUAAUAACUCAGCAACCAAAUUACAAUUUUAUAACUUUCAAAAAGAUUAAAGAAAUAAGAGUAUUGGAAAUAUUAAAAUUUUCAAAAAGCACAAUCAAAUUAGAAAAUUUAUCAUAAAUGUACAAUUGAGUUUUAAAAUUUUAAAAAAUACAAUCAAGUCUUAAAAUGAAUUAAUGACUUUAAUAUGAAUUAAGAUUUGUGUAUCAAUCUUACCAAAAAAAAAAGAUUUGUGUAUCAAUCAAAUCAAAACUAGUUCAUAAAUUAAUUAAAGAAAAAUUGUGGAUCGCUUGAAUUAGGAUGUGUAACUUCAUAAAAGAAUUAAUGACUUUAAUAUGUUGACAACUUGUACGACUAAAUAUUAUUAAAUUAUUAAAAUGAACAAUAAUUUUGGAAUAAUCAAACAAACCCCAGUAUUUUUUAUGAAAAUUUGGGUACAAACAUGUCACAAGCCAAGUACAUGGCUUAUCUUUUUUUCAACAAAUUGUUACUAAACAAUAUUUUUGAACUUACUGAUACGGAACAAUCAGUGGUCCUCAUGUUCUGUCUCUUGCUUCCAUGGAGUUCUCGGAAUAGACAUUUUCUCUGUUCCGACAGCAACUCACCACCACUUUCGAGAAGAUAAUAAUUUAGUCGGACCUAAGCGUGGCAGGGAGGAAAAACUAAUAUCCGUCAGCUUGCGUGCUGCUACGAUAGGGCAUGAUUGGUUCUAUUGUAUUAUUUCGCAAGAGAAGUCAUCUGCGAGUUCUUUCUCUUUGCUCCUCUCUCUCUACCCUCCCUCUCUCUCUCCGACGAAAAAGAUCGCGACCUCCCUCCCUCUCUGCCCUCCCUCUUUCCGAUCGGCGAACCACCGCACGGGACCGGCGAACCACCGCGCCGCCCCUCCGGCUUCAGAUCCGGCCCCGACUCGUCUGUCCCUUGCUCUUUCUCUCCUCUCGCGUUUCUGUCUGCCCUCCCUCUCUUCAACGGCGAACCAGCGCGUGACAGCGAACCUGUAUUUUCUCCUUGCGGAGAAGCAACGAAAAUAUCUUUGAAGUCUACAGCGAGGUAGUCUUACCGAUUUCGAGGAAGGAAGGUUUGUUUCGUUGGUCUUGGUCAAGAAGGUGAGGGUAAAAAAGCAGCACAAUUGCUGCGUGAAAAGACGAGCAAUCUUGUCGCGCCAUCCUCUCCACGGGAUUGUGCGUCUCCUUCGGGGCAAGAGGUUCGAAGUAAAGCUUUAUUUAAAGUCCCGAGUGCUCGUGACCCAGUAGCAGAAACGUCAAUCACCGUAAGUCACUUGAGACGCUCCUCUUUCGCUCUGAGAUAUUUGCCUUGGAUAGCUCUAGAUUGAGACGUGAAGGUGAUCUCAUAAUUGUGCUGCUUUUGAGGCUCGGACACAAUUUGAUGUGCUUUAAGGGAACUCCUUUUGAGACAUUAAAGCCCAUCCGAGGAAUUCCGUCUCUGCAUCACUCCUCCGGAUGAGCCGGACAGUCUAUUACAUUUUGAUAGAACAAAAUAAAGGCAUUUGAUUAUUACUCAUUGAAUGACAUCUAACAUCCUUAAAAGCAUGCACAAUAUAACAUGUGAAAUUCCAUCUGACUUUUUCAAAAUCACCGUCGUUACAGUCAUUGUAGAUUUUUCUUACUACCUUCCCCUUAUUCAAACUGAUCGGUAUGAGCCUCUCUCUUGCAGAACGAUUCAAGGCUAUCAUCUACAGUCCUCGCUCACUUUCUUUGUUCAUUUCCCUCAUAAAAGUUCUCGGCGAGGCUUGUUUAGGGUCUUCUCUCUCCGAACUCGCACCUCUCUUUGCAUCUCAGCGCGUAGAAGGUAAUCGCUUUUUCAUCUCUUAUUAGUGUGUCAUUUCUGUUGAUUUGUUGCAGCUGAACUAGCGUGUUUUGGGCUCUCUGUCUGAUGUGGGUGGCUGUUAACUUGGUGCGUCACCAGCUUAUAAUUGACUUCCGUAGAAAAGGGAAGCUUUUGCUUUCAGACUUUAGAUGUGACUAAUCAUGUGGCCUCUGUCUCAUCGUUCGUUUGCAUCGUAACUUAGUGUCGAUCCUUUGUCGAGCUAGAAUGAGUUGGAAUGCGAGACGCGCUAGAUUCUAUUGCGCGCAAAAUUGCUAGUAUUCGCCUAAAGCCAAGGACCGUCUUUCUACGGAUUGUGAGGUUUCUUUGUCCCUGAAGGUCUAAGAUCAAUCAAAUAAAAAAUGAAAUAUAAAAGAAAAAGUAGUAGGCCAGUUCGCGGCAAGUUCCAACAUCAGGGGGGUUCGAUUUUCAAUUCCGAAAAUUGAGAACAUGCUCUGAUAGGUAGGUUUCAGGGUUUUGGUCCAGAAUCUACACACUCUGUAGCCAAUCACCCAUAAAAGCAAGUACUCUCUUAAUCAGAUUUUAUUCACAAUUUUGCCUUAGACAAUUAUAGGACAUUCUAGACGAAUAGUUUGUUGUCUUCCUCGAAUUAUUGGACUAUAUAAUCCUAAAAAGUAUAUUGCCUUUCACCUCUAACUCAUUUUCUUCCUUCAAAGUUUUGAAAAUUGACGAAGUUAGUUACCCCAAAAAAGGGUAAAAGGAGGUUGAAUUGAGUAAUGAAAAAGUAUAGUUCACACGCAUAAACAAUAAUAACUAUUAUGCAAAGGUUAGAGCAUUUUUAACUCUAUUGCCACUUUCUCGAACAAAAUAUCUCCGUUGCUACUUUUUACCUGCUCUCAAAUCAGUGAUAGCUUCAGUCAUCAUCACAAUACAAGACAUACCAAAAUCAAUGGUAUGAUGCUUCUUAAGAUCUUUUAUGUUAGAGAAAAAUAAACUAAUUGAUCUUUGACAUAUGCACAUGAAGACAUUUCAAAAAAAUUGAACUAUACAUGUUUAUUAGGACACUCACUCAGCUUUAUAUCUCUCAUAUCUUUCACCUUUUUGCUACAAACUAUAAGUUCAUUCAUUAAAAUGUAAUUAAUCAAUUUAAUCUGACUUAUCACGAAUUUAGCCGAUAAUCCUAUUCUACGUCCAUUUAAUUGGAUUAAAAAAACUUUGCGAUGAUAUUCUCAAGGUGGACCCUCGAGGAAAAAGGGGGCACUAACUGAAGGUCAUUCUUUUCAAACCUUGGUCCUCUCUGAAUUUUCCUCAGCAGUUUUGCUUUAUUUUCUUCUCUUCUGCUCCUCCUUCGAUCAAAUCAUGACCUAAUUUCAAGUUGUUCAGACUAAGGCAAAGUCAGAGCAAGGCAAACAAAGGGAUGCACCGUAUCGCUUCUGGUCGUUCCUUUGCUAUGCUCGUUGCACUGAUUCUUUUCUCUAUGCUUGUAUUCUAUCAUCUCAAGAGGAAGAAUGUGAGCGCAGAAAAAGAGAGCACUAAGGAGCAUUCACUUCUUCUUUGGUGUCGUCUAAUGAAUGACAGUUCUAUUCUACAGAUAAAAUGAUGAUCAAUUAUUUAAAUUUCAAAGUUUGAAGAGAAUAAUUCAGUGAUGUUACAUCAGGUUAAAGUGGAUUCGUUUUGCUUGACAUUUCUAAUACGUAAAACUCAUUCAUUAAAUAUUGUGUACAUUCGGAAAUCAGGUGCUUUCUAUCUAGCCUUUUCACUUGUUUAUCUACAUCUUUUAGUGGAACAGGAAGGCAUCUUCUCUUCAUAAAUAUUUUAGUGUUAGUGAUCGUUUCAAAUGCAUGUGCUCUCCACCAAGAUUACGAGCCUUGACUAUAGAGCACGCAUGUAGAGAUGAAGACUAGCCAUUGUUUUCUUGUCCAUGAGUGGACACAACCCAAUGAUGUUGCCAUGACGAGAAAGCGCGGUCCAUUGGAAAGAAAAGAUGCACGCCUAAGUCAAUAACUUUUACUAUUCAAAAUUAGUCAACAGACUGACUUGAUCAUUAAACAUUUUGGAUUCGAAAUCGUUCAGAAAUCAUAUGCUCUCCUCCCAAAAAGCACGUGCUCUGCCUUUUCAUUUGCUUAUCUACUUCUUCUUGUGCAGCAGGUUGGCAUCCUCUCUUCAUUGUUGUCUAUAAGAUUUCUAUGGGGAAAGGGCAAAGUCUGAGCAAAAUAAUAAGAAAAAGAAAAGGAGCGCAAAAAAAAGGAGCAGUAAGGGAGAAAGAGAUCACUGAUGGAGCAUUUGCUUCUUCGUCCUUACCUUCCAUACCCACGGGAGGAGGUAGCGAUCAAUACGAUGUGUUCUUGAGCUUUAGAGGCUCCGACACUCGCAACGAAUUUACCGAUCACCUCUACCGCAGUCUGAUCAGUGUAGGGACUGUACCAAUUUCUGUGUUCAGGGACGAUAACAGUGUUGAAAUUGGCAAGGAUUUUAAUUCAGAGAUUCUUAAUUCUAUCAUGCGAUCUAAGAUUUCAAUCCCCAUCAUCUCUGAAAAUUAUGCUUCGAGCAAAUGGUGCCUCCGCGAGCUAGUACGCAUCAUGGAUUGCCAGAAGAGCACGUUGCACACAGUGUUGCCCAUUUUUUACAAAGUGCUCCCAUCGGAUGUGCGGUAUCUAAAUGGAAAUUUUGGGGAGGCCUUCCAUUUGCGUAAGAAGCGUUUUGAUAAGGAGGACAUUCAGGAAGGUCAACGAGCCCUUACAGAAGUGAGUUACUUGAAUGGAUGGGAAUCUGAGAAAUUUGCCAAUGGGUACUUACCUUCUACCUGCACUUUUUUUUUUUCUAAGUUUUGUUAUUUAGCAAAACCAAUGUCAUAUGAAUGAAUUGCUUACACUACAAGCUUACAAAACAUCCCAAAAUGUCCCAAUGAAUAACCAUAGUGGCCCAUAGACUACAAACACUUGUACUCCCUGAGAUUUCCCCAGAAAACUACACUGACAACAUCUAAAACCUUAGGAUCGCUUACUCAAUCUUCCAAAGCUUGGUAACUGCUGGAUAAAUCGACCUUCUAUUGCUUCACACAGAUCAUGUCUAGGUUUAACACCCGCUGUUGCCAAUAACUUUCAUUGGUAUGGUAGGCGAUCUAUAAGUUAAUUACUAGUCCUCCAUUUAGGCCUGUGGGAUACACUGUUCUUAGAGGGAUAACAUCUUGUCAUCCUAAACAUUUUGCAACAAAAAUUAUCGACCUUCUAUCCUUCAACUAUCAGUGACCAUUAGCCUCAUAACAAACUCUUUACUUCUAAAGAAUCUUAAUUUGCUAGGUGCACCACCAUAUCUUAAUUCAAUAAGAUCUAUCUAUCGGAAGAAAAAGAAGGGGAAAAAUGAAAUGACUGCUACACCAUCAUCCUAUAUUGUCAUUUGUAAAACCAAGACAUUUUGCAUGUUAAUUGGUCCCAUCCAUCCUUCACAUAUAUGUGGGUGUCUUUUGAUGAGAUUACGCAAAAUUAUGAAGUUAUGAUGAGUUUUGUUGUUUGAUAGGCGUGAAGGAGAAUUAGUGGAAGAAGUUGUCAAAACUAUUAUGAGCAAGUUGAGAUGUGAUUUUCAGCUUGAUAUUCCAGACCACUUAGUUGGAGUUGACGAUCAUGUCAACAAAAUUAGGAAUUGGGUAGACAUUCCUGCCAAGCAUGCUCGAAUGAUAGGAAUAUGUGGCAUGGGUGGGAUCGGUAAAACGACUCUUGCCAAGGUCAUCUACAACCAGUUGUCGAAUAAAUUCGAGCAUCGUAGCUUCCUUCCAGAUAUACGAGAAACAACUCAUAGCAAAGGCAUUCUUGAACUACAAAAUCUACUAAUUAGGGAAAUACUACCAAAUGAACGUGGAGUAUGUAAAGUUGAUGAUGGAAUUAGUUUGAUCAAAUCUAGAUUUAAAGGAAUAAAGGUUCUCAUUCUUUUGGAUGAUGUUGAUCACCGAGAUCAACUAUAUGCUUUGGCUAGAGAACGUGAUUGGUUUUCGACAGAAAGCAUCAUCAUUGUUACAACUAGAUAUGAAGCUGUUCUUCAUCAACCUAAAUUCGAGGUAGAUUACAAGUAUGAAUUGACAGAAUUAGAUGUGGUGCAUUCUUCAUGUUUAUUUAAAAGGCAUGCAUUUUCCAUGGGCAAUUGUCCGAAGGAUUUUGAGGGUAUCUCUCGUGAUAUCUUAUCCACCAUGGGUGGGCUUCCCUUGGCUAUCGAGGUCAUAGGUUCAUACUUGUAUGGAAAAAAAGAUGGAAAAGUAUGGCAAGAUGUGCUGAAGAAAUUAAGAAAUGAACCGGAUAGAGAUGUCCAAAGGACAUUGAAGAUAAGUUAUGAUGCAUUGGAACCUACACAAAAGGAGAUUUUUCUGGAUAUCGCUUGCUUUUUAAUCGGCAAAAAUAGCAAAUAUGCCAAUUACAUGUGGGAGGACUGUGAGCUUUUUCCAUAUAUCGGAAUUAAAGAGUUGAAGUUAAGGUGCUUAAUAAAAAUUGGAGAUCGUGGUGAGUUUAGGAUGCAUGACCAAUUGAGAGAUCUUGGAAGGAGCAUCUUUUGCCAAGGACAACCGCCCGAGAGAUGUCUGAAGCCAUGGCUCGAAGAUAAAGCCUUGAGAAGUAAUAUGGAAAUGGAGGUAACAUAUGAAUCUCUCUCUCUCUCUCUCUCUCUCUCUCUCUCUCUCUCCAUAAAUUUAAUGUGAUCCAUUUUAGUCUUUUAGCUAGUAUAAGCAAAUACCCCUACUCUUUAGGAAAAAAUCUAUUCAUACACGCAUUUAUGUCCCCCUUAGAUAAAUUGUGAUAAUAAUUGGAUUAUAAGUGUCCCAAGGAUGAAAAAGUUACAUUAUUUUAUCCAAAUUCAUUGAUAUAAAUUACAUCUGUCAAAAACUUAAUUUUGCAAUCAAUUUAAGAUUCUUUAACUACGAUUAUACACUGAAAAUCUCAUUCACUAAAAGCAUGUAGUUUUAUAUCUACUUGAAACUAUUGAUAAUCUAAAAGACUACAAUAAUUUAAUUAAGAUGAAGCAUAUACAUCAUAGAUCAGAUAAAUGGAGAUGUUUUGAAUUUUUAUUCAAAAUGGCAAUGUACGACAUAAGCUGAUUAUAAUAACUAAUAAUUAACCAAAUCGGUUGGGCUAAAGAAAAAUUUCACACUUAUCAUAGGUGCUUGCUAUCUAGUAUGGUCGAAUGUAUUGUGGUGCUCCUAUGAAUUAGGAAAGCAAUGUUUGAUACACUUUUAUUUUUUUCUUCCAUUUUGAUUUUGAAAAUACCUCUUCCCCCCACGAGGUAUAUCUAUCUCUUUUCAUUCUUCUUGUGUCUUAAUAGCUAUGAUGGCAAAAAUCACCUUAAGAAUCUUAUAGGGAAAAUCCUUACAAUGUUUUUAAGGUCGGAUCACGUUGACCUUGUUCAUCUCAUGGAUUUAGGUGUGUGAUAAAGAGUGGAUUUUCUUAUUUUCCUUUCUUUGCUUCUUUCAUUUCUCGUUGUCUGUUCCUUUGCCUUUCUUAAUAAACAUUUCUUUCCUCUCCAACUUGUUUUAUAUUUAUUAUAUUUUUUGGUACAAUGCCCUUUUGUGCCAAAAACCCUCGACAAACUCGACAAUUUAGAGGAAAUGUCAUGCUUGUUCUUAUAUCGAUACAUUUUUCUUUAGUAAAUAACAUUUUCAGCGUGCAGUCAAUUUUGAAAGUAAGUUUAAUUUUUACUUAGAUUGUCAAUGUUCAUAUUGUUUCAUUAUUUUAUAUUUUCUAUUUAGAGAAGCGUAGUAGGUUCAUGACUGAUCAGUGGGGGGGGGGGGGGGGAAUUAACCUGUGCAAUUAACCAAGAGAUGUUGGGAAAGGAAAAAGCUUUAUUUUCUCAAUUUAAUUUGAAUUAGUUCGCUCAUACCAUUAUAAAGAGCACAUUCUUUUGUUGAUUCAAUAACUAUUCUUAAGAGAAAUAACAUUGACAGUGAGUUUUUCACUAGUUAAUACAUAAAGUAUGGAUAAUGACAAAUGAGUCAAACCAUAAAAUUAAGCCCAACCUAAAAAAGAGAAAAAAGAAUUCUAUUUUUGGUUUGAUAGUGUUUGUGGAAGUUCAUAUUUCACAAAACAAAUUUGUCUUUUCGCAGUUUAGUUUAUUCAUAAUAUUUCCAAGAAACUAACGAAAAAAAAUGCACUUUCAAGUUAUGUUGAUCAAUCGAUAAAUUUUUUUUUUUAAUGUUUACUUAUAUAUCCUGCCCUAUUGUAUCUUUGCACUCGGCCUAUAAAUAGCAUUCCAAAAAAAAAAACAAGGUACUACUUUCAAUUUGGUGUUGUCACAAAAGUUCAUGUGAAAGAAGAAAGGUGUCGAGUGUUGUGAAAUAUGGAUUAACUAGUCGUGAGCCCAUACCAUGCAUAUGCACAAAACUGACAUGAAUAAAUUUAUCAUGAAGAUAUAAAUAUAGUAACCUCAUCUCUAUUAGAAAAGCACAUAUAGAUGGACAAAUCAUGUUCUUUGGAAAGACAGUUAUAAUUUAUAAGUUGAUAGUUUUUAAUCUUUCAUUAUAGUAAUUUAACUGGAUUUUUUUUUUUAAAAAAAACAUCUCUCAUUAUAGUAAAAAUUCAGGCGGAAACCGCAUUCGAAAAGACAUUCCUUUUUUUUCCCCCUAACAACAAUGGACAUACUUCUCUUGGAUGGAGUGCACAAGAAAAAGUUAAACGCGCUAAAAAUCGAAUUAUAAGGAAUUUAAAAAGAUAUUAAAUGAAAUUGCAUGAAACGGAAGUGCGAUAAAAGGAAAAUUAUGAGGAAAGUAAAACACGAACUUUGUUGUGCCGUGCCUGCCUGAUCUUACCUCCGAAUACCCCUUUUAUACCAAUGCUUCGUGUCGACCAUUCUGUUUCUAGGCCAUUCACAUGUAACUUCCACAUGCAUCAUAUGUCACAUGCAUCAAUUGUCUCAUGCGUUACUUGCCACAUACAUCCUAUGACACCUAGUCCAAUACUAUUCUUUUCAAGGGAGAGAUUUCUCUAUUAUUCUCUCAACCAAAAUUAUCUCACAAUCAAGUUCAUUAUAAAUCGUAUUUAUUUAAAUGAAUCCAUGGGCUGUUUUCAUCAUUUAGCUCUUAAAAGGGGAAACCAUCAUCGUUAAUCGCAAUUGCCCACUGUCUAAAAAUAGUUAAUCAUAUAUAUAUAUAAACAUGUGUUUUGCUUCUCUUGCUCAUCAUUAGAAACAUCAAUUGGUGUCACCUGCUGAAUCAAAUAUAAAUGGUGUGCAUAGCGUGGGUCAUGUCUAGUCUAUAUCUGAUAUAACAUGAUACUAUAAUUAUAGAAAUGACAUUGGUGUCACUUUAGGUCCCUUCCAAUUUUACUCUUAUUUAAGGAUUCUACUACUAAUAAAAAGUAUGGCAGAGGAGUGAAGUCUCACUUUGGUAGAGUGCUCCUUCUCUAACCAACACAUCCCUCGCCUUUAACGGUUAUAUAAUAUUGUCCUCAUCAGCAUGUCGUACCAUCCCCAAUUUUCAUCACCAUUCUCUUCUUAUUUUUAAGAGUUUAAGUUACAACGUUCACAUAAAAAUAAGCAUAAUGUUAACAUAACACGUGCGUAGCAUGUGUAUAGAUUACUGUGGACAUUAAGCAAAGUCCAUUUACAAAAAAUAUACCAUUUCUAGGUCGAAUUUUGCUUUAACGUGUUACAAAUGCGUUUUCUUGAACAGGUCGAGUGAGGGGCACUACUGGCUUGAAAUUACUUUGCUCUAGAAGUGCAUGUUAAUAGAUGAAUACUAAUUUCUAAUUUCUAAUUCACCUCUUGAGAAGGAUGUCCAUGCUAAAAACGAAUUUCAAUAUUCACAUCAACAUACCUCUAGAAAACCUAUCUGACAAAAGUGGGUACUAACGGCUACGUAAGUUCCAUAAUGGUGAAAUACUCCAUUAACUCAUUGCCAGGUGGGACACCAGCUUAAUUAAGUCCGACUGGACGGUUCAAACGGGAAAUUAUUUACACUUAAUAGUGCCAGGAAUCAAACUCAUAUCAUGAUACACAAAAGCACAUUCCUUAACCACUAAAUGAGCUGCGUGGGGUUGCCUCUCAAAUAUUUCAGCCAAAUCUUUCAGAAAAUUAUCAACUGUUCCUUAUAUUGCUUUUGGUAAAUCCUAAAGAACUUGACCAUAGAAUAAAUUGCAAAGAAAAAAUAACUCACUAGACAUGUCUCCUUAGUGCCUAACUGAGCGCCAGGUGCCCGCUGUGAUCCAGAAUCGCAUGCCCAACCAAGCGUGACUAGGUGCCCGCUUUGAUCCAGAAUUGCAUCUCUACGCUGUUCAAGUGACUUAGUCUUGCUGGAGCCCCAGCCACCGACCAGUAGCUUUGGCUACUUGCGAUCUCUGUUAUGGGCAUCUCAGUCUGUUCCUCUGAACGUUUACGUCAUGUCAAUGUGUAGAUUGAGUGGCGGCUUGAUUUAUCUGUGGUCAAUCUCGAGAAUGCUAAUCCAAUAGAAAGUUUAAGAUUUAAAAUUUUGAUACUCGAACGUUAUCCAAUACCGUUACUGAUCAGCUAAGCUUUCGGGGGAAAAAUAAUAAAGUAUUGUUGUUAAUGUCAAUCAAGCCGUCUGGGAUUUUGUCACCAUCUUCUUCCAAUUAAAAGAUCUCCUUUAGCAACAAAGUUUAAGCGGUACUUUUGACUUAUAAGAUGCGAAAAGAAAUGGUGCCAGUCUUGGGAAAUGGACAUACGUAUCUACACUUUUCUGUUUAGGUAACAUAAGUAGAUUUCUCCAGAAACUUUCAUGUGGCAGAGUUUGCCAAAAGAUGUUGCCCAGCAUUGACAAUCCUAUUGUUCCAUAUGUUAAGACCUUAAUCUAAGUAUAACACCAUGUAAGGAAGUUAAUUAGUACAUUUUUAGUUGGUCUAAAGUCAGGUCUCUUCCAAUUCUGUCAAAAUCUAAAAUAUUAUUCAAAUGCUAAAGGUGUAUUGCUAAAGAAUGAUUAAACACUUAACAACAAUGGUUAACAAAUUGAAAAUCAGGUGCUUACUUAACUACUUAACAAGUGACCCAUGGGUACUCUUUAACAUUCGUAUGUUUUAAAAGGUUUCAUGUAUUUCCACUUUAAUAAAAAUCGAAGUACAUGCACUACGAAAUUCCAAAAAACCGAGAGGUAAGAAUUGAGGUGUUUUGUCUUGAAUUUUUUAAAGUAAGAAAAAGUGUUCUUUUUAUUUAAAAUAUUGUUUGAAUUUUAAAAAAAAAUUAUCAAAAUUCUAUAUGUGUGUGUUUACUUGUCAACAUUUAUGUUUGGCGAGAGGUAAAAAGAUGACAAAUUGUGAAAGUAUGGGGUUUAGAAAAGCAAAAGUAAAAGAUUAGAAGUCAAUUAGACACUCAAUGAUUGAUUUGAUAUGCAGGAUUUCGAGAGAAGCUUUGAUUAUUGGCCUCGUGGCUGUUCCUCUACAUGCACAAGUGAACUGUUAAAAAACUUACCGAGCUCAAGGUUCCUUUCAGUUUGCUGUACGACCAUAAGUGGAGACUUUAAUGAAUUGUUUCCUGAAUUAAGAUGGCUUCGAUGGUUAUACAUUGAACCCAAUAUGUUUUCUUCAACAAUCAAUUUGCAUCUAUCUAAAUUAGUGGUGCUGGAAUUGUUACAAAACAAGCUUACAGAUGAUUGGGAAGGAUGGAGUUCAAUCAUGGUAAGAUGGAAAAAAAGACAUCUUCUACGAUCUUUGCUUUGUUUUGUUUUAUCGAUUAAACUCCUUUUUGAUAGCUUUUUCUCUUUUGUAUAGGCAGCAAAGCAGCUAAAAGUUCUCAAUAUUUCAUAUAGCAUAGAGUUAAGAUAUACUCCUAAUCUCUCAGCUUUCACGAAAUUGGAGAUUCUCAUCUUGUCCAAUUGUUGCAAACUGAAACAAGUCAACCCUUCUAUUGGCAAACUCAAGAGCCUCAUAUCCUUGGAAUUGUGUUAUUGUGAUAAUCUGAAAGAGCUACCAGAGGAAGUUGGGGAAUUGCAAGAACUAAAAGAACUCCUUUUAAUUUCUAUUGGCAUCACAAAGAUUCCUAUGUCAAUCUAUUCUCUGAGGAAGCUAGAGAAACUGGCUAUAAGAUCUUGUCAUUCAUUGGUUGAAAUCCCUCUCACAAUUGGGAGUCUUUCAUCUCUCCAAUACCUUGACCUUUAUUUCUGUUCGUCAUUAAGGAAAAUCCCUUAUUCGAUUGGGAAUCUUUCUUAUUUCAAACGACUUGAACUAGGUUGUUGUACGUCAUUGACAGAAAUCCCUAGCUCAAUUGGAAAUCUUUCUUCUCUUGAACAACUUAAUCUAAACGAUUGUUUGUCAUUGAUAGAAAUCCCUAGCUCAAUUGGGAAUCUUUCUUCUCUCAAACAACUUGAUCUAAAGAGGUGCAAAUUAUUGAAAAAAAUCCCUAGCUCAAUUGGGGAUCUUUCUUCACUCAAACAACUCCAGCUAGGGAUUUGCUCGUCAUUGACAGAAAUCCCUAGCUCAAUUGGGAAUCUUUCUUCUCUUGAACAACUUGAUCUAGAUGAUUGUUGGUCAUUGACAGAAAUCCCUAGCUCAAUCAGGAAUCUUUCUUCUCUUGAACAACUUCAGCUAGGGUUUUGUUCAUCAUUGACAGAAAUCCCUAACUCAAUUGGGAAUCUUUCUUCUCUUGAACAACUUCAGCUAGGGUUUUGUUCAUCAUUGACAGAAAUCCCUAACUCAAUUGGGAAUCUUUCUUCUCUCAAACAACUUCAGCUAAUGGGUUGCUCGUUACUAACAGAAAUCCCUAGCUCAAUUGGGAAUCUUUCUUCUCUCAAACAACUUCAGCUAGUGGGUUGCUCGUCAUUGACAGAAAUCCCUAGCUCAAUUGGGAAUAUUUCUUCUCUUGAACACCUACAGCUAGGGGGUUGCUCGUCAUUGACAGAAAUCCCUAGCUCAAUUGGGAAUCUUUAUUCUCUCGAACAGCUUCAGCUAGGGCGUUGCUCGUCAUUGAUAGAAAUCCCUAGCUCAAUUGGAAAUCUUUAUUCUCUCAAACAGCUUCAGCUAGGGGGUUGCUCGUCAUUGAUAGAAAUCCCUAGCUCAAUUGGGAAUCUUUUUUCUCUCAAACAGCUUCAACUAGAGGGUUGCUCGUCAUUGACAGAAAUCCCUAACUUAAUUGGGAAUCUUUAUUCUCUAGAACAGCUUCAGUUACGGGGUUGCUCGUCAUUGAUAGAAAUCCCUAGCUCAAUUGGAAAUCUUUAUUCUCUCGAACAGCUUCAGCUAGAGUGGUGCUCGUCAUUGACAGAAAUCCCUAGUUCAAUUGGGAAUCUUUCUUCUCUCAAACAGCUUCAGCUAGGGUUUUGCUCGUCAUUGACAAAAAUCCCUAACUCACUUGGGAAUCUUUCUUCCCUCCAACAACUUGAUCUAGGGGAUUGCGUGUCAUUGACAAAAAUCCCUAGCUCAAUUGGGAAUCUUUCUUCUCUCGAACAACUUUAUCUAAUGAGAUGCGAGUUAUUGACAGAAAUCCCUAGCUCAAUUGGGAAUCUUUCUUCUCUUAAACAGCUUCAACUAGGGUUUUGCUUGUCAUUGACAAAAAUCCCUAGCUCAAUUGAGAAUCUUUCUUCUCUCGAACAACUUGAUCUAGGGGAUUGCGUGUCUUUGACAAAAAUCCCUAGCUCAAUUGGGAAUCUUUCUUCUCUCGAACAACUUUAUCUAAUGAGAUGCGAGUUAUUGACAGAAAUCCCUAGCUCAAUUGGGAAUCUUUCUUCUCUCAAACUACUUGAUCUAAGGGAUUGUGUGUCAUUGAGAGAAAUCCCUAGCUCAAUUGGGAAUCUUUCUUCUCUCAAACAACUUUAUCUAAGGGGUUGCGAGUUAUUGACAGAAAUCCCUAACUCAAUUGGAGAUCUUUCUUCUCUCGAACAAGUUAGCUAGGGGGUUGUGUCAUUAAGAGAAAUCCCUAACUCAAUUGGGAAUAUUUCUUUUCUCAAAGUACUUGGACUAGAGGCUUUAGAGGCUUGCAAGUCAUUGAGAGAAAUCCCUAACUCAAUUAGGAAUUUUUUUUUUUCUCUCGAACAACUUGAUCUAAUGGGUUGUGAGUUAUUGAUAGAAAUCCCUAACUCAAUUGGGGAUCUUUCUUCUCUCGAGCAACUUGAUUUGAGGGGUUGCAUGUCAUUGACAGAAAUCCCUAGCUCAAUUGGGGAUCUUUCUUCCCUCGAACAACUUAAGCUAGGGAUUGUGUGUUAUUGAGAGAAAUGCCUAACUCAAUUGAGAAUCUUUCUUCUCUAAAAAAACUUGGACUAGAGGCUUGCGAGUCAUUAAGACAAAUUCCUAGCUUAAUUAAGAAUCUUUCUUCUCUCAAAGGGCUUUAUCUAUCACAUUGCGUGUCAUUGAGAGAAAUCCCUAGCUCAAUUAUAAAUCUUUCUUCUCUCAAAUACCUUAACCUUUACAGGUGUUGUUCACUAAAAGAAAUUCCUACCUCAAUUGGGGAUUUACCGAAUUUGCAAAGCACUAGGGAUUUUUGACCUUGAAUAGUUACCCAGUGCUAUUGGAAGGUUGAACAAACCGGCAAAGGCUAUUUCUUAAAUCUUGUGAUAGUCUAAAGGGGGGAAUUCCAAGAGAAAUUGAUGACUUGUCUUUGUUCGUGGUUUUCCAUAUCACUAGCACAUUUAUAUUUGACCCACUAGAAAGCAUCUAGAAUCUUUCUUCUCUCUAAUGCCUUGACCAAGAGGGCAGUAAGGAGCUCCGAUUGUUGCUAGAGCUUUCUUCCAGCUUAACAUAUCCUUAGGUCAAUUCCCUAAUUCCGAGGUUGCCAGAGCUUUCUUACCUUUUCCACCUGGAAGAACUUCAUUUUUAUGAAUAUGAUCAACUUGAGUACUUCCCAGAGCUUACCUCAAGACUCUUGAAACUUUGUGUUGACUCUUGUCCUAAGUUGAUAUUGCCUCAACUUGACAUAUUCAAGUACUUGGAAGAGUUUGUCAAUGAAACACAACAAUUCGAUUGAAAGAAUGGACCUCACAAUCGAAUCUUCUAAAAGGAUUGGACAUUGAGGAUUGCGAUAUUCUAGUUGAAAUUUAAGGCCAAGGUGAAUUGGAGUUCUUGGAGACAAUACGUACAUAUAGCUAGAAGUCCAUUAGAAGGCCGAUCCAUCCGAAAUUACAAGGGCUUGAAGCGAUUAAAUACUUGCUGUUGCGACAAUCUAGUCGAAAUACAAGGUCUUGAUAAGGUGGAGUUGUUAGAGAUGUUGAAUGUCUGUAAUCCCGGUUCCAUUGAAAGAUUACUUGACCUAUGAUGCUUUUGGAACUUGAAAGAGUUGAAUAUCAAUGGUUGUUGUAAUCUAUGUGGUGUCUGUUGAGGCUCAGUUCCUAGUCUUACAUAAUUGCAAGAGUGGGGAAGUUGGUCCUAGAAGCGAACAUGAUGCUUCAACCAAGAUCAAAAUUUAGAUCCAAUUGUGGUUUUUCAUACGUUAGAAGGCGUUGGUCAUCUGGUAAGAUUUUUUGUCUUUUAACAACUAGCAUGAGCAAAGAGUGUAAUACUUUUCUAACAGAUAUAUCUUUUAAGAAUUAUUUGCUCGAUGCUCAGUAUCUAUUUGAUCUGGAUUUGCCUAAAUAUAUUUGCUAUUGAUUGCAUCACGACAAUGUUUUUUUAGCUAAUCUUCAAUCAGCAACUUUUGCAGAUAGAUUGGCGGCUUGUGAGGCAACAAAUUAAAAUUAAUGAUAUAAGUAAACAAGAAUUACUUAAUGAUUUAGGUCCCGUUUGGUUCGACAUUUAGAAGGCACUUUGGGACUGUAAAGUCCCUGGGCCAAAUGCAAAUGCGUUUGGUUCGCCUUUUUGGGUGACUUUGGCAAGAUGCAAUUGCAUUUUCAAGUAACUCUAAGAGACUAGCCCAAUGCAGCUUUGGAGGUACUUUGGAAAGUUGCAUCUUCGGAAUGCAAGUCCCCGAUACUAUUCAUUUUCCCCAAAACCACUGCACACCACUGCACGAAGAAGCCGAUCGGAGGCCGACGACCAUCAGCCAAGGGGUCGCGCGCGCCGGCGAUCGUCGCUUGAGGGUCGCCCGUCAGGCGACGGUCGCCGGGGUUGGGCAACCCCAGGUGAUGGUUGCUGGGGUCAGGCAACCCCAGGCGGUCGUGCAACCUAGGCGACGGUGGUCGAGGUCGCGUGACCUCGGCAACCGUUUGGGGGCUAGAUCCGAUGGUUAGACUUCAUAAAAAAAUGCAAAUUUUCUUUUAUUUUUUUAAUUUAAUAAAAAUCAUUUACAAAUGCAAAUUUUACCAAACAAUAUUUCAGCUAAAUUUGUUUCUCAAUGCAAAUUUUACCAAACGUUAUUUGCAUUUCGGAAAACUCCAUUCUCCCAAAGAUAUUUGCAUUUUUGCAAAUGUAUUCCCCAAAAAUCGAACCAAUCGAGCCCUUACAGUUUCCCUCUCGGUAAACCCAAGAUGAGAAUUUUUCAUCAAGAGGUUGAUCUUCUGCAACUCAAUUUAUAAACUGCACCUACAUCCCUUUUUUCUCUAUGUCUCAAACUAGUAUUUUCUUUAAAAAAAAUCUUUGCCAUUUUGAACUCUUUUGUGAGCAAUUUUAUGUGUCAGAUUUUUUUUUCAUAAUUUUAUGUGUCAGAUUUGACUAUUGGUAGAUAUCUUGGUUAGGACAAACAGCUCUCGAUUUUUCAUGAUGAUGGGAAAGUCUGUCCAUUGUUCAUUCAAGCAUGAAUUCCCAGUAAGGAAUAGAAACUGAGCUAAAAUAAAAAUCAAGGUUCAAUUUUUUUUUCUGGUGCGUGAUUUAAAAAAGUAAAAAUUAGUUUUGGCUAGCCUUUUUCAUCUAUGAUUGUAGGCAGGCUUUCCAUAAACAAUAGUGAGACUUUUGAAAGAUUAUCAAGCGAGAUAAAAUGGUGCUACUUUUGUGACAGGUCCGGUUGGUCUAUGCAAUGAUCAAGGCUUACUUUUGGACUUCAAUUCAAAGAGCUGUAUAGAUGACCUUUUGCAUAAUUGGGACAAUUUUUUGCCUGCUCUGUAAAACAAGCUAGGCGAGGAGCUUAAGAUUUUGCUUAUUAUUUUGCAUCUCGUUUGAUCUCGAUGUUGUCGUGGAAUCAUUUUAUCAAAUGAUUGAUUUGGGUCUGGCUAACUCAGCUGAGGCAAUUCAUAGUCCAUACCAGAGAACAAUCAAAUGAAAAAGAGGGAUUUUGCUGAGGUGUCAUCAGCAACAGCUGAAGGCUAGCUUUUGUGCGACCUUGAACAGGCUCACAGGCUAACUAGAGUGUCCUAAGGAAGUUUUUUAUGCCCGUGAAGAUCAAAGCACUUGAUAUGGUUUCAUUGGCACAAAACUGAAUGAUUGUGAAUGUAUUAUUUUUUAAUUGAAUCUACUUUUUGUAUGCUUAUUAGGUUCUACCUUUAUUAAGCAAAUACAUACGUGCUGAUUUUUCUACAUGUUAACCAGAUGUAGAGUUCUUCAAUGCAAAGCGCUCUAAUGGUAUCAUUCCCAAACUCAGUCAAGCUCUGCAGAUAGAGGUAUGCACUGCCAGUCCUGCCAUAACCGUGAAAGAGUGACUUGUGUACUUAUAUUUAAUCGAAUGUGUUGUAUGCUUGUUAGGUUCUACCUCUUUGUUAAUCGAAUAUGUACGUGCUGAUUUUUCUGCAUGUUACCCUAAUGCGGAGUUGUUUGAUGCAGUCUCGUUCUAAUGAUAUCACUUUCAAACCUGAUGAGGCUCUGCAGAUGGAGGUAUGUACUACCAGUUGUACCAUAAUAGAGUAACUUCUGUGCUUAUACUAUGUGAGCUGUGGAAUUUCACCAGAAAUCCUUGAACUAGGAUGCAUGAUGACAAUCUCCUCUUUUUCGCUAAUUGGAUAUUGCAAAAUAAUCAAGUAACAAGUACACCUUUCUAUUCUGUAGUUUGGGCACUUUGCCUUUUCAGCAUCCGUUCUAUUCAUAAACACAAACAAGGAUGAUGGUGCUGAUUGCUGACUUCUCUUCUCUUAAGUCCGUUGCUUUCUAUUUCUUUGGCUGAUAAUGAAUUCUGUUGAUUGCGAUCCAACUGCGAAUUAAUCAGAGACCCCGGGAAUGUGUGGCAAAACUAAUGUCCCCAGAUUUUGGUGUUGAUAGAUGAGAUGCAUUGAAGUGGUCACUCGUAGAUCGUCAGAAUCUGGACCAGGUCAAAAUAACCUUGUUUAUAUUGAUGGACUCUCAAGUCUAUGCUUACUACUUUCAGCUAAUUUUAGGUUCUUCAUUCCAAAUACAUCUAAAAAUAGACGGAACUAAGGAUCCAUGCAGCUGUGCCUUUAUCUCUCUUCGAGAUGAUUGGAAAGUGUGACAUAUUUUUACUCUCAACCAUCUCGUGUAACACAUGCAUCGCCCUCAUUUUUUUACCAUCUUUAGCAAGUGCCCGGGUGGAGACUAGUUAUAAGUCUUCUAAGGUUGAAUUUGUUAGUGUUUGUAACUUUUGAUGAAAUAUCAUAAACAACCUGAAUUUAUCAUUCUUUCUUUUCCUGAAUCCAUCACGAAGUACAUAUGUAGCUAGUAGAAUUAUAAUUAUUUUCAAAAUCUCAUGUGACAACAGUUGAUUGGAAAAGCCAAUGAGUGUGAGACCCAAAUACAGGGUUUACAUUUGAUGAUGCGGUUCAAACCAUAAGAGACACACCUUCGGGUCGUCCAAAACUUCUUAACGACUUGCCUCAAAGGACACAAUCAAGAGAAGGGAACAAAAUCUCACCGAGGAAUGAAGAAGGAGAAGGAGAAGGGGAAGGAGAAGAAGAAGAUUGCCUCAACUGAGUUGACAACAAACUUGCUGCUACCGCUGCUACCGGGACCUUCUCAUGUGGACUCCGGUGCCACCUCCUCUGUGGUAUACUGGUAUGAUGACUAAUUCAUGAAAUAUUUGAUAUAAUGCCAAAGUGCUAAUUUCCAAGUCCCCUUCAUUUAUUGAGUAUUAUAAGCUUGCACAAGUUCAAUUUCCUUGCUCUCGUAUCAGCGGCAGCAUCACAAAGUCCGGUCUUCUAAUUCCCAAGGAAAUGUUCAUUUUUUAUUCUUCGCAGGGGUUUAUACCGAUAAAUUGUUGAUACUCCCUGCAAUAACCGCCGACGAUCGUGGUUUACAUGGUCACAUCUAGCUCUCAGCGUGUCUUCCAAAUUCUUCAGCAAUCGAACGGCUUUUCCAGUAUUGCGGGUUCUGCACAAUCCCUCAUCAUGGCUUGGCACGUGGUUAUAUCUACCUCGAUUGUCUGGCCAACAUUUCAUCCGCCAAGCUCAUGGCUUUGGCGAUUCUACCCUCUCCAACGAGCCCAUUGAUCAAAGUGUUAAAAGCUCGCAGUUGUGGGUUCAAGUCCAAGUUUGACCAUUUUACACAACUGAGGACCCGAGAUCGGAUCUUUUCAAUUGGCAGAGGUAAUUCAUCAUAAUGUUGCGAGUAGAACUGUUGGGAGUCGUUCCUUUCGAACCCAUCCGCUCGAUCAUGUCAAUGGUCACGGGGUAAUGCUUCAUCUUGGCCCCGAUCCCCAAGAGUUGGGCGAAACAGGGAGGUAAAGUCAAGAGGGUUCACUCAAAUCGUCCUCUCCAAGAAGAAUAAAGCAUUGUCAGCUUCCACCAAUCCGCCAUUUCUGCAUUUGUUCACCACAAAGGUCACAAGUUCAGAUUGAUCCAUUUGAAUCACUCACUCCAGCAGUGGAUGGGCAACCGUGGGAGCGACGUGAAAGAAAAUGGUUCGAUGCAAAGAUGGGAUGAGAAGUGAGAGGUUUAACGAGAUCGCCAGAUUCUCGAACAAGACGGUGAAGAGCAGAAGUGCAGAUGGAUGGAUUUAUUCUCAUCAGUUUUGCCAAAUUUUCUCCUUCCAAGUUCCGACAAUCCACAAAUUGACGCGAUGGUGUAUGGAGAGGAUGAUUGUUAGGCAAUUUAAUCACUGCAACUUUAGAUGUCUGAUAACAACAUAGUUUUCGGUUCAAUCAUUGAAAACUAAUUGUUUGCCAAACUGAACAUUUCAAGAAAUACUCUAAUUGAUUCAUUCCCAUACUCGGCAGUUGAGGAGAGAUCAGUAUGCAAAAUCAUGCUCUUAUACUGUUGUGAAAACAACUAUGAAAUCCACGUUUGAAACCAAAUCUGAAAGGAUAGAUAUCUCACACAAUGAUGGCGAACACUAGUGGGGUUGAAGGAUCGCUUGUCGAAAUGAACGUUUCUAGUCUUACUAUUGUCUGCCUGAAAAAAUGAGAACUUAAUACAAAUGUUUCUACUAUUGUCAUUGUGUGCACAGAACAUACUACAUUAUACCAAUUUAAAAUUUUGAUUUUGUUCUGUUUGACACUUUCUUACGUAUCGAAUGAGGCAAUCAUCCCAGCUCAUAUGUCGCAAAAUGACGUCACAGGGAAAUUUUGAUGGUUUAUAUUUGAAGCAUGUAACUUUGCAAAAGAACAUAAUAUUUCGGUCCUCUUUUCCCCGAUGGCAUAGGAUUGCUUAUUUAGUGAAUAAACUCUAAACAUUUAAGGAUCGUGUUAAUUCACCUAGUUGAAGUCAGUAGAGGUGAGUGAGAGAUGGCUCGUACACUAAUUGAUUGCUAAAUUUAAAAAAAAAAACAGCUAAUGAAUUAAGAAAAAUUGUAAGCUGUAAGUCUGGACUGCGAAAUCCAUUAUCUGUCUUUGAUAAUGUGGUACUGCGAAGACCGAUUCAUUAUGGGUCCUUGGCAAUUUUCAGGCCAUCUAAUAAAUUUCAAACCAUGGAUAGCUAAUACCCCUCUUCACUGUUAUGACUUUGCUACCUGUGCAUUUUGGGUUCAGGUCAUAGGAUUACCUCUGGAAUGUUGUACUGAUGAUAUGAUACGCAAAGCUGUUAGUUCAGUAGGCUCUGUUCUGCAUGUAAAAUCUGAGUUUGCCUCUGGUUCAGCCCUGAAGGCUUGCCGUGCUCGUGUUGAACUGGAUUUAUCUGAACCAUUAAAGGUGGGUCGACUCAUUAAACUUAAAAAUCGAACUUUGUGGUUGGACUUUCGCUAUGAAAGAUUACCUCAUUACUGCUAUUCGUGUGGACGUCUGGGCCAUUAUACUGCUUCCUGUCCUUCUAUUCCUUUUGAGGAGAAAAUGAUCCAUGAAUCUGACUCUACUCCUUACGGCCCCUGGCUAAAGCUGAAAUUCAAAAGUACAGUCCUUAUUGGAACUGUUAUUACGGCCAACUAAUUUGGAGGAGAUAGCGAGGAAUCUAUACCUGAAACUCCUCCCUCCAAGAGUCUUCUUUGUCCUUUUCCUCUUCUUUUACCCCCCAAUUACCAUACAACCACUCAACCAGACCCUGUUAUUCCAUCCCAAAUCAGAACACAACUGAUUCCUCAAGGAAACCUCCCUCCGAGCCAAAGAACCCUUAACCACUCCUUUAAUCCCCUGCCACAGAGAAGAUGAAGGGAGUGAAAUGGCCAGUAUUAUCUCCUCAGAAAAAAAAAGGGCAAAGUACUCGACCAGUAAGUAAGAUCAGUCCUUCAAAGAAACUCAGGCGCUAUAAUCCCUAUGAUCUACCAGAAGGAUAUUUGGGGGGCUAUGAUGAUUCGCUUUUGUUGGACACGCCAAUUUUGGAGGCAUCUGAAGAAGUACUCUGGGCGACGGUGGCUGGCCCUAAACAGUCACCAGAUCAAAGAUGAAACUUAUAGGAUGGAACUGUCAGGGUUUGGGCAAUCCCCUGACAGCCCUAUCUUUAAAAGCCCUUUUGGCUAAGGAAAAGCCUGACCUCUUAUUUUUGAUGGAGACGAAAAAUGCUGAUGACGUUCUCCUUCGGUUGAAAAGGUCUUCGGGUUUUUUGCAUCACAAGCUAGUCACCCCUGUUGGAUUAGCUGGUGGUUUAGCUCUUUUUUGGAAUGCAGGGCUCUCUCUGUCAGAUUUCAUAUCCUCUCCGCAUAUUCUGGAUUUUACCUGUUUUGACAUCUCUGAAGCCAGAUCAAUGCGGAUUUCUUGUAUUCAUGCCCCUGCAGUCUAUCAAGAACGUCAGUAUCUUUGGCAGACCUUGCGCCACUUUAGCAAUUUCAAUGUCUUACCUUGGGUGUGCUUCGGUGAUUUUAACGAAAUUUUACACCGAUGGGAGAAAGUAGGCUCCAGACCAGCGGAUUCUUACCGUCUUUCUUCUUUUCGAGAAGUCCUCAAUGACUGUAGACUGAUGGAUUUGCCCUCUCAUGGUUGUGCCUUUACGUGGUCAAACAACAGAGAUGCCGAAGCCUUGGUCAAGGAACGCUUGGAUCGAGCGAGCUGUAUGUACUUCUGAAUGGCGUGUCUCUUACCCCAACGCCGAUGUGACAGCUCUACCUGCAGUAGGUUCAGAUCACAGCCCUCUGGUUAUUCACACAAAUCCUAGCAUAACUCGGAGACAGAGAAUCUUUACCUUUGAGGCAUUCUGGAAUCAGGAUCCUGGCUGUAAAUCAGUGAUUGAGUCCUCCUGGAAUUCUAUCUCACGAAGGGAAUCUCCUCUCCCAAUCAAACUUCGUGCAGUUGUCAGUGCUUUAUCUCGGUGGAGUCGCCAGGUUUUCUCCCACAACAAGAAGAAGGCAACAGAAUUAGAACAACAGUUACUAUAUUUAUCAAAUCAGCAACCUACUUCUCAGAAUCAAUUGCAGCAACAGAGGAUUAAAGAAGAACUUCAACAAGCGUGGCAGAGGGAAGAGCAAUAUUGGGCAAUGCGAUCGAGAAUAAACUGGUUACAAUGGGGCGACCGCAAUACUAAGUUUUUCCAUGCUUCUACUCUUCAACGAAGGCAACGAAAUCAGAUUGUUAUAUUGAAAGAUGAGAAUCAGCAAUGGGUGAGGGAUCGUGACCAGAUCAAACAUAUGACUACCCUUUAUUACUCACAGUUAUACACCACUUCCGGGUCCAGACCUUAUGCACAGAUAUUAGAUCAAUGUCCAAGAAUGGUGGAUGCAGAAAUGAAUGCUGGUCUACUUGCUCCUCCUACUCCUGAAGAGGUCCGCGUUGCUACCUUUCAACUAGGCGCUUCAAAGGCACCAGGACCCGAUGGUUUAAACGGAUUAUUCUACCGAACGCAUUGGGAAAUCAUUAAAACAGACAUUCACAAGGCAGUACAGCAAUUUUUUCAAAGUGGCACGCUACCCCCAUCCCUAAACAACACAGCUAUAACCUUGAUUCCCAAAACUCCUCACCCGGAAAGCCUAGAUCAGUACCGCCCUAUUAGCCUCUGCAACUUUAUCUACAAAAUUUUCGCUAAGCUGCUUGCUAAUAGAUUGAAACCUUUGUUGCCUCUACUGAUCACCGAAGAACAGAGCGCCUUUGUUGCUGGCCGACAGAUUCAGGACAAUGUUCUAAUAGUACAAGAACUCAUUCACCAGCUCAAAACAAGGCAACGUAAGCGUCAUUUUAAAGCCAUUCUAAAAGUAGACAUGCAGAAAGCUUAUGACCGUGUUGAGUGGGACUUUCUCCGAGAUUAUCUACUUCGAUUGGGAUUUCAUUCACAGUGGGUCCAUCUCAUAAUGCAGUGUAUCUCAACGCCUUCUUUCUCUAUUAAAAUGAAUGGGGAGUUCUCACCAAGAUUUCAACCUUCACGUGGACUGAGGCAGGGAGAUCCCUUAUCCCCUUACUUGUUCAUUAUUAUUGCAAACCUCUUAUCCAUCCUAAUUAGAAAUGCCGUGAAUAUGGGCUCUCUCAAGGGAAUAAAAUUGAACCAAUCGUGUCCUACUCUUUCACAUGGGCAUUCGCCGAUGACGCGGUGUUUUUUAUGGAUGGUACCCUCUUGGAGUGUCAGCACCUCUAUAACAUUCUAAUCAAUAUUGCCUAGCAUCAGGACAAAUGAUCAACCGAAAUAAAUCUGGAAUUUUUUUCAGUUCCUCUUGCCCUAUUGCUCUUCAGGAAAAUUUAGCUGCUGAAUUGCGAGUUCCAGUCUUACAGCGUUGUGGGAAGUACCUAGGGAUACCUACUGAUUGGGGAAGAUCUAAACGAGAUAUGUUUUCUUGGCUGCUGAGUAGAGUCCAAGCCAAACUAGAAGGAUGGAAGGAGAAGCUUAUAUCUAAGGGGGGGAAAGAAGUUCUCCUAAAGGCGGUUAUUCAAUCUAUCCCUCAGUAUGCAAUGUCUGUGUUCAAGAUUCCGGUAUCUUUAUGUAGAGUUAUUGAGAAAAGAAUGGCUAAAUUCUGGUGGAGUAAUGAUACAAGCAGGUCUGGUGUGCACUGGCAAAGCUGGAAUCGUCUACAAACUCGAAAAGAACUUGGUGGAUUAGGAUUCAGGGAUUUAGUGAGUUUUAAUCUCGCCAUGCUCGGUAAGCAAGCAUGGCGUCUACUGAAUCAACCAUCAUCUUUGUGGAGUAAGCUUUUCAGGGGAUUAUAUUUCCAUUCUUCCACUUUUUUAAAAGCAAACAAGGGUUCUCGCCCCUCAUGGGGCUGGCAAAGUUUAUUAUGUGGCAGGGAUGCAAUAUUACCUCAUAUUAGCUGGUCUGUGGGAGAUGGAUCAUGCAUCAAAAUCAGAGAAGACAGAUGGCUUCCUAUGGGAAUUUUAGUAGGACCUAAAGCCCCUGAAGAACCUAUCUACGUAGCUGAUCUUAUGGAUCAAUCUGCCAGUUCAUGGAGAAUUGAUUUGUUAUCGAAAUUUUUUGAUAUGCCUAUUAUUAAUCAGAUCAGAGACAUUCAACUCAGACCUCACUUUACCACAGAUACACUCAUUUGGUCAGCAACAAAGCAAGGCAUAUUUACGGUCAAAUCAGCAUACCAUGCACUUAUUCACACUCAAUCGACCAGCACAACCUCAUCUGCAUCAACAUCAUAUCAAACCCCUACCUGGUUAUGGCGCUCUAUCUGGAAAAUGCCUGCAGCUCCCAAAAUCCGAGUAUUUCUUUGGUCUAUCUGCAAUGAUGCCUUGGCAACGCGAGUGAACCUGCAUCGACGACAUAUCUUAGACAGUCCCUGCUGCACGCUGUGUAAAAGGAAAACACCAGAAACUAUAGAGCACUUACUAUUACUCUGCUCAUGGACUCGACAGGUUUGGAAUCAUCCUCAGAUUCGGCUUUCUGUCCUUCCCAGUAAUAUCACCCGUAUGGAUUCAUGGAUCACUUCACUGGUCGGGACAGAGAAUCGUUUACCUCGGCUAGCCUUUAUUUCUCACAUUUUGUGGCAGAUCUGGCGUGCUCGAAACGCCUUCGUCUUCCGAGGUACGUAUCCCAAAUCCCUUCAAGUAGUAGAAGCAGCUCUAACUGGUGCUCAAGCGGACCGAUCAUCCUCAACCUCAAACCUGCACCGGAACAGUUCUGUCAUUAAUCGAUCCCAUCAAUGGCGUCCUCCAGAUCUUGGGGUGUUGAAAGUCAAUAUCGACGGAUCAUUUCACCAAGGCAGCAACAAAGGAUCGAUUGCUUGUAUUUGCAGGGAUCAUCAAGGACGACUUACCGAUGGGUUCUCCGAAGGGGUAGCCGCGGUCUCAGCUCUUCAGGUCGAGAUUCAAGCCCUAUCUUUAUCGCUUCGACAUCUUCUGCACCAAGGACUCCAAUCAGCAACUAUCGCCGUUGAAUCAGACAGCCUAACGCUGGUCGAAACUCUCAACAGCCACUCUCAGCCACCAUGGAUGGAACGUUCCCUGUUCGCCGAAGCAGCCUUUCUCCUAACCCUAUUCCCCAAUCUCGAGCUAGGGUUUUGCCGAAGAGAGGCGAAUGCUGUUGCCGACUGGGCUUGUAAGGCCCAUCAUCCCACCUCUUUGAAGUGUAAUUGGGCCCUUAACUCCCCCCCGCUCUCUUGAACUUAUUAUGUGCGGAUGCUCUAGCCGCGGGAUGUAAGGCCUUUUCAUCUUAAUACUAUGUUCGUUCCGUUCAAAAAAAAGAAAAAAAGUUCGUCAUGAAUCACAAAACCAAUCGCAUGAGUAGUGUUGGGAAAAAGAAUCAUUGAUGAUGACAUCCUAAUGAACGAAAAUGAAAAGAUUCUUUUUCCCAACUUCAAUUGUCCCCCAUUUUCACAAGGAGUAUGGUUUACAAUUCGGUUCUCAUCUUGAGGAUACCAAUUGUGCAUAUAGCGCAAAACAGACGUAAAGGUUUGAUCAAUAACUUCUUCUUUUAUGCUUAUCUUUAUCAUUGUGUCAUUCAAUUGGAGUAAAACACGCGCCUAAUUAGCAAUUCCACUCUAUGAGAACACAGAAAGACAAUAAUUUACAAAAUGGGAAUAAGUAUUGUAAAAGAUUCUUUUAUUCAUUUGCUCUAUAACAUAAAGGAGCAAUUCAUGAAAAAAAUAUGAGUACUCAGAUGUAAUUAAUUACAAUAAAAGGCAAGCCUUUGAGGUGAAGAGACCAAAACCGAUUGUCCAACGAAAUGUAAAUAUAUGCUUAGGUGGAGCAUUUUUGGUGGAGAAUACAGUAAAUCCAAGUUUUGCAAUAUGAAUAAGACUUCUCUAGUUAUCAUUAGUCUUAUGCGUCAUGGGAAGUGAUGCUUUAGCAAUACUUUGUUAUUACAUAUUUGUAUAAAUGAGACCAUAUAGAAUUUGUAAUACCUGGUAGCUUAAUGAUUACGCAUGAACGUUUUCCCAGUAUAUCAAUUUUUUUUUCUUCUAGAUUUUUCCGGAUCGGGGAGUGCAGGUAAAGACUAGUUGUGCCAUGUAAGAGUCUUAUUUAGAUCAUAAAACAAACCUCAAUUGAUGCAAAAACAACCCUUCCUAUCAUUAAGUGAAGUGGAAAGUAUAUGACGAUAGGUGCAUAAUAGACCAAGCUAUCUAAUUGCCAAUAGAUCUCAUAAUAAAUUAGCAGAUAUUCUGAAGGAAAAUGCAUCUAGACUAUAGACUAGUAGUAUAGGAACUCAGAGAAAAUCUCACGGAUUGAUGCGGUAGAAUAAUAGUUGAUCUUUUUUUUUAUAGACUUACUCACAUCUGGAAGAUGUAUACCAACAACUUUUUCGCUCACCUUAUUAAUUUUUUUUUUUAGAGAGUGCAUGCAUCUUCCAAUUUUUUUGGGUACAUCCUUGUACUAAAGAGUCUGCAUGGGUAGAUGGAAGAAGUGCUAUGCAGUAGGGUGAAGUUAUGAAUCCAACCGUCCAUCCUCGAGGAUGCAAUAGAAUGGGCCUUGAAUGAAGGUACUAAUCAAUACCUUUUUGUUCCUAUCCACGUCAGACACAAUAACAAUUCAUACAUGUUUUUUAUUGGUCACUUUCUUAAAAAGUCAAUAACACGUGUAUAGUUUCUACUACAUUGAGCAUUUCCAGAUACAUAGAGAUUAGUGAAAAUAGUGUAUGGAGAUUAUUGGGUCUUGUUUGGUUUAAUUAAUAAGAAAUUAAUGAGUGAACUCUCGUUCCUUGAAGUUACAUUUCAUUAUUUUUCUUUCUUUAACUAUUGAUUUAACUUUAAUGCGGAAUUUCAUUUUUAUUGUUUGAAGAUUAAUCAUUGCCGUGAACUAACUUAAGCUGCUACCACAAACGCACCACCACCACCCACCCACUUAUUUGCCGCCUCCUCACCACCUCAAAUGCACACCUCUCGGGGUGAUUAGUUCCCAAUUCGAUCUAGUUUCUAAAUGGAACCGAGAACUGGACCAGGUACUCUAGUUCCGAAAUGGAACCGAGAACCGGACUAGGAGAACCGGUUCUCAAAAUUGGGAAUCAUGGACUGGACCGUUAAGUCGUAGGACCGGGAACCAAACCGGACUGCCAAUUUCAGCCAAGUCCGAUCUAGUCCAACGAAACUAAGCACUUUUUUUGUUUUCUUUUUUCACUAAAGAGUGGUCGUGCUUCAUCAAUCAAUCCAAUUUGGUUCUCGAGCGGUCCAAUAAAAUUAAUUGCACAUGUUCCCACAUGCAAAAAAUUUACUCAUGCGAACAUCAAUCACAUUUAAUGUAUUUUACACUCAAAUCUUAAUCAUAAAGGCUGUGAAUGAUAUGGCUAAAGAUCGUGCUUGGCUUAGAUUUUAUAAACAAUCUCUCUUAUACUCUGAGUAUUUGGUUGAUGUGGGACUCUUGGAGGCUACGGAUGCCUUGUGUUUUGCAAGUGAGGAGAGCAAGUGAGAGAGAGAGAGGGAGAGAGAGAGAGUGAGUGAGCGUGAGGAAUGAGGGUUUCUUGAAGCCUUAGUCUCAUAUCGGGUGGAAAAAGAAACUAACAAGUAGGCUUUCUCUUUAAAUAAAGAGGAACAAGAAGAGUUUUGAUGACUACUUGGCCGUAAUAUUUGCAAUUCCGGCUGUAGUAAGUUUUAUAUAUAAUAUAUGUAUAUAAACUUUAUAUAUAUUAAAUUCGGUCCGAUCGGUCCAAUUCUCACCUUGGAAUUGGGAACGUGAUCGACUAGCCACCAGUUCCAAGAAUAGGAACCGACAACUGGACUGCCGAUUGUGGAAAUCGCGCGGCUUAUGGUUCGAGCAGUUCUUGUUGCACACCCCUACACAUCACCACUACAAGGAUGCCAUUAGCUCAACAACUGCACCAACUGCCCACUGCCACUGGCCACCACCAAAUCACCCAUUGCGCCCAUGCUCCACCGCCACGAGCCAUGCUGCAGCCACCAUCAAAGCACCACGGCCACCACCAACAAUAUUCCAAUACCACCAAAAUGCGCAAGCAAGAACCUCCUCAUCACUUCCCCCGUCACUCCUGAUUCCACCCCCUUCCACUCGCCCACCGAGUCAGCCCCUCCUCCCACCUCCCCGACCUCCUCCACCCCGCCGUGAUUCUCCAAUCACGACCACUGCUGUCGGCUGCUCCCAGCCGGCACCACUUGGAGAGUGUUAAUGGACUCUCAAGUCUAUGCUCUCAGCUUUCAGGUAAUUUUAGAUUCCUCAUAACAAAUACAUCUGAAAAAAAGACAGAACUAACUAAGGAUCAAUGCAGCCGCGCGCAUAUCUCUUUUUGAGAUGAUUGGAGAGCGUAACACAGUUUAGUCUUGACCAUCUCGUGUAACACAUCCAUCGCCCUUAUGUUCUGACCAUUUUUAACAAGUCUCACAAGGUUGAAUUAGUUAGUGUUCAUAACUUUUGAUGAAAUACCUGAAUUUAUCAUGCAAUCUUUUCCUGAAUCUAUGACAAAGUACAUAUGUAGCUAGCACAAUAAUUAAUUAUUUUCAAAAUCUCACGUGACAACAGCUAAUUGGAAGCCAAUGAGUAUGAGACCGAAUUACAAGGUUCGUAUGUGAUGAUGCGGUUCAAAACUAUAAGAGCGCGCACACACCUCCAGGUCGUCCAGAACUUCUGCAUGACUUGCCUCCAAGGAUACAACCAGGAGAAGGCAACAAAAUCUCACCAAGCAAUGAUAUAAGCUGAAAGAGGAAGAAGAAGAAGCAUUCUGUGCCAUCAUUUUGUCACCAGUUUUUACGACUUUCUGGUCGUGUUUAAAAGUCUUUGCUCAAUAAUUUUACGGUCCUUUCUCACUUUCUGGCUAAACAGCACUGUUUACUAUAGGUCUUUAAUUAUCUUUAUAGACUUACAUUGGUGAUGACCAUGGAAGAAGGAAAUAAAUUGGAAGAUAAAGAAGGUGGUAUUCGCACCAUUGUCCUUAUUUCCUUGUUAAUAAUGCAAUCUGCCAUUUGCCUGAAUUGAGUUGACAACAAAAUGCGCUGAAAAUCUCAGAAGAUGAAAGAACAUAACAAAACGGAAUGGUGAGGAUUGUUGCUAAUGCUGCUACCCGGGACUUCUCAUGUGAACUAAACUGUCCCUUCCUCUGUGGUAUGAUGACUUGUGCCUCUAAUAUUUGAUCAAUGCCAAAGUUUCUAUAAACAGCGAGCCGUCAAUAUUGCUCAUUUCCAAGUCCACUCUAUUUACUCAAUAGUAUAAGCUAGCACGAAGUUCUUUUUUCUUAUUCUCAUAUCAGCAGCAUCACAAGGUCUUCUCUUCCAAUUCCCAAGGAAAGGAAAUAUGUUGUAUUUUUUUUUUUUUUUUAACUUUACAGGGGUUCAUACCACUAAAUAGUCAAAUCCUUUUCUGCUUUGUCAAAAUGUCAUAGUCGGCAUUAAAACUGAAUUGCAUAUUAAACUUAUUAUUGAUAAGAAAACUUGACAGUAGAUUCACUUAUAACGUCUCAGCUAGAAAUGUCCAUCGGUUUUCUGACUCAGCUGAUUCAGAGGGACGACAGAGUCCUCAUUGCUCAAGUUCUACCUAGAUGUCUAUUGUGGCAUUGAAAUUGAAGCGUAGCUGGAGAUUAUUUCUUCUUAGUCAGAGCUGUCAUUGUGUGUCAGCAAUAUAUCGAACUCUCUAGAUUCCAUGCUGAUUGGAUGAUACAACUGUGUCUUCAACAUGGAGUAGUUUGGUGGCACUUUGCAGCAUGAUCUAAGGCUAUUCAACUCAGUGCUAAUCAGUGGAUGUCCACUAAUUUGCGUAAUUCUUGAACGUAUAUUUCCAUGGAAAGUUCUUCCGUGCUUUUCUCAUAAAUGCUGAGGAAAUUUAACGCCAUCCCUCGCAAAUACAUUGCCUCAGUCCCUUCUUUAUAUGAGCUAUUUAAUUGCCUGUUGUAGUUAUGGUUGAUUAGUUUUUGAAGCAGCUAUUCAUAUUAAAGCAGUUCAUGGAGGUUGUAAUUGCUGUUGUCAUACAGUUAGGACUGCAGUAGACUCUCACUACCCAUCUGAUCCCUGAUUUGUUGAAUCGUUAUUACCAUCUUCCAGCUGACAAUUGGGCAUCCUAGCGAAUCGUCAACUGAUCAUUUAUGCACAUGUUGGGAUGUUUGCAAUUUUAGUAAAAUAAUUUCAGACAGCACUAGUGCUUCGAGAAAUCUUUUUGACAUUGGAGAGUUUCUUGAUCCUCUUGUUGGAGAUGUUAAAUUCAUUUCUCUAUGACAUGCUUGGCAUUAAGGGUGUGCAAUGGAAAAUGCCUAAAUCGGGAACCGCCCGAAUUAGAUCAAACCAGCUGGUUUUGGGCAGUUCCCAAAGAGAGUGGUCUGGUUCCCGGUUCUCACUUUUGGAACCGGUGGCCGGUCGGUCUAGUUCCCGGUUCUAAGGUGGGAACUAGAUUGACCGGACUGGACCAGUUAAUUAUAUAUAUAUAAUUUUAAAUUUCUCAAGAAAAAAAUCCUAAUUCCUCAUAAUUUCUCCCAUUUUUCAUUUUAUUUUUGACCAAAAACAGCAAAUUUACCGGUUCCAUCGAACCGACCGGACCAGUCAGUCCAGUUUCCAAUCCCGGAAUUUGGAACCAAUCCUCCUGGUUUGGUUCCUAGUUCCACCUUGGAGCUAGACCGGAAUGGUUCCACCUCGGACCUAGACCGGAACGGGAACCAAUCAACCUUGCUUGGCAUCAACAUGUAGAAAUUCAUCUGCACUACAUUUAAUCUGGGACUGGUACAAAUUCUGUUUCUUGGAGUAUUAUAAGAAACGAGGGGAAGUAGAGUAGAAUGGGACCACAUCAAAUGUUGAUUGAAAGAAAAACCUCAAGCAAUUCCAGGUAAACGUCAUUUGUCUAGAAUGCAGUUCCAAAAUAUCAGCCAAAACCGGCAUUUCGUAUGUGUAAGUUGCCCCUAAAAAUGUCACCUCCAAGUCAUUGCCUAAUUAAUCCGAUGGUCUUUUACAGCCGGUAGCCUCUCUGUAAAAUUACUUUGCAUUCGGGGACAGCAAGCCUGCGACCCGCCUCUGGAGCCUCCUUCUGUCAUUGCAUUUGAUCAGAUGAGGCCUGCAGCCUCUUUCUGUUACAUUCGUUAGAAAUCUGAUGGCCUUUGCAGUUUUGCAUGGCCCUCCCCUCCAGCCAUGAUUCCACUAUAUAUCCUUUGGCAAACAUUUCAUCGACUGAACUUAUGACACGGCUUGUGCAAUUUAACCUUUUCCUUAAAGCCCAUUGAUCAAAGGGGCAAGCUCACAACAUCUGGUUCGAGUCCAGGCCUGAGGACUAUAUUCAAGACAGAGAACCCAAGAUGAAAUCCUUUCAAGUGGCAAGGGGCGAUUUGUCAGAAUCCUGAGAAUAUAAAUGUCUUAAGUUUAAGGGGGCGUGGGCCAUUGCAGCAACCUCUGCAAGUAAAAACAUACUAAAAUCUACAGCAACCUGAUCAUGAAAAGAGAGAGCCGUGCUCAAUCUAUUACUAGAAUAAAUAGCCAAAAAUUUUAAAUGGAAAAACAGACGUUAAAAAAGGUCUCGUUUUAGCUUGGCAGAGUCAUUUUUCAUACUCUCAUACCACCAUCAUAAGGAUAUCAUAAAAUCAAUUCCGACCUUUCUUUUCUGGUCUUCCGAUUCCAAGGGAAAUUAAGAGAAAUUAGGCAGGAGUGCCUUUUUAUUUUCUGUUAAAUUAGCACCUUAAGUUUCUCAUCGCAGGUACCUUUUUAUCUUCUGCAAGUAGAGAAAUGCUAAAUCUAUAGCAAGCUUCUGGUGAAACACAGUUAAAGAUACGAACCAUGAUCAAUCCUCUACAAAGAUUUAUAGCCCAAAGGUUCAGUGAGAAAACAGAUGUAAGAAAAAGCUCUUGUUGCAGCUUGGUAGAGUUUUGAAGAUGGUGAUGAAGAACCUACAAGAGUUCCAUUGUGAGGAGACUCACAGAUCAACACAGUCUGGACCAGUCAUGUUUGUGUUGGUGUUUUCUCAAGUCCAUGCAUACAACUUUCAGUUAAUUUUAGAGUCUUCGUACCCAGUAUAGUCAAAACAGGUAGAACUGAGGAUCAAUGCAACCGCUCCAAUCGACUCUCAUCGAGAUAAGAACUCUCUACUACAUACGGUCACUCUCAACCAUCUCGUGCAACCCAUGCUUCACCCUCAUUUUCUGACCAUUUUUAUGGAGUGUUCGGGUGGAGAGUGCCCCUUUUCUUUCAAUUCUUGAAGCAGCUCAUAGGAAUCACUCGUUCAGUUGGCUUUACAUAGCCCAGCAAUUAUAGCACCAAAUAACAAAUCAUCAUGUUGCUAACCUUUCUCAGGCAGGGCAUUGAAGAGUUCUAUAGCAACUCCAAGUUCCCCUGCCACCCAAGCCGCUAAUAAGGGUGUCAUAGCUGAUGAUAUGGACAUUUCCACCUUCCACUUGUCUAUACAAAGCAAUUGCCCCAUGAACCCCAUGCCCCAUGAACCCGGUGACUAACUUUAUUGAUUAUUGUUGAUUUAAAUGUUCGCUACUAGCUAUAAUUUUGUAAAACAUAUGGUGCGCAACCCGAGGCAGUUCACUGAGGAAAAAGCCAUCUCGAGACAGUUAUAGGUGGCAACAUCAGGGACUGAUCCAUUCUCUAACAUUCAUGAAUCAAUGUUAGGUUGGUUGUGAGUAAAAGAGAGCAGUUUUGUGCAAUCAUCAAAUGAAAUGUAGUGGGUGCAUCAUCUAUUUGAUUUUCACGACAGUUACCACCAAGCAAUGAAGUAUAUGUGAACUAGGUCGGGCGUCAAUCCUCCUCAGAUCAUCAGAAUAAAAAUGCACUUCAUCUUGUCCAGCAAAACCUUCGCUUCUUUCCGUUAACCAACCCAAGUUGAGCCAUGUAUCAAGGGCUGACAUUUGGGCAUCAGUCAUAGUAUUAUACAACUUCAAAGCCUCUGUCUUAGGUGCCUCCGAUGAUCGUGGUGUACUAGGAAGCAUGGACACUCUUUGGGGCCUCCGUGUCAGUGUCAAAUGCAUGUAAUUCUUGUUGUCAUAGUUCGACAGUUAGGAUCACAGGAGACUCAUGAAUUUCCCAUCUGGUUCAUGAUUUGUUGAAUAUCUCAAUUUUCCUGCUGAAGAUUGGACAUCCUAGCGAUUUGUUAGCCGACCGUUUCCGCAUAAGUGUGACUGCAAUUUUAGCAAUAUAAUUCCAGACAGCACUAAUGCUUGAAGAAAUCUUGUUGAUGUUGGAGAUCUUCUCAAUCCUCUUGUUGGAGAUGUUGAAUCAAUCUCUCUAUGACAUAAUAAUUGGUAUCUCCAUGUAUAAAUUCAUCUGCCCUUGUUCCAACUCUGGGAUUGGUAAAAAUUCUGUUUCUUGUAGUAUUAUAAGAAACAGAGGAAGUAGAGUAGAUUGGGAUAAUAUCAAAUGUUGAACGAAUGGAAACGUCCCGUGCAUUUCCAGAUAAAUGUCAUUUGACGCAAAUACAGUUUCAAAAUAGCAAUCAGUCGAAACCGGCAUUUCAUAAGUGCAAGUUGCCCCUUGAAAGUAUCAUCUAUUAGUCAUUGCCUAAUCAAUCCAAUGGCCUUUUUGCAGCCUGCAGCCUCUUUCUGUCAAAUUACUUUGCGUUUGGUGACAUCAAGCCUGGGAUCUGCACUCUGCAGCCUCUUUGUGUCAUUGCAAGAUGAAGCCUGCGGCCUCUUUCUGUUGAAUUUGUUAGAAAUGUGACAGCUUUUGCAGUAUUGAACGACCCACUUGCUAUGACUCCCCGUUGGCUUUAAAUCCUUUGGCUAAAAUUUCAUCCCACCAAGCUUACUCCACGGCUCGCUUAAUUCUACCUCUUUCAUAAAGCCCAGCGAUCAAAGUGGGGAAGCUCCCAACAUCGGUUCAAAUCCAAGUUUGAAGACUAUAUACUCAAAACAGAGAACCCAAGAGAUCUUUCCAAGUGGCAACUUGCCAGAAUCCAGAGAACAUAAGCUUGAACUAGUCUGGUUUUAGAGUAAUAACCUUUUUGUGGUUCUUUAUCGAGAAAUUAUAUUAAAGAUUACAUCAAUGUACAUAAUAAAUCACUAAUUAGGUUAUAAAUUGGCUCAAUUAGCUGAGCGAUUCUAGUGGAUCGAUGGAAAAGGAAAAAAAAAAAACCAACUAUGGCUUUACUCUUGAAAGAACAUUGACAUUACCGCAUUGUUAGCAAGUGAUUAAGGUCAUUGACUUUGGCUUUACUGUUUUUCCUCUACAGCACCGCAGUACAUAUUUUGCAAAUAAAAUUGCAUUUUCUCUGUGGCCUUGUGGUGGGGAUACGGAUUCCUAUAGUCUCAUUAAAGGUUUUUCCUAUGAGUUUCCGUAAAAAUUGUUGUCAAAACUUUUGCCAAAGAGAAACAGAGGAGGAUCGACGAAGUCUUGGUCGCGGUGUUGAGUGGGUCAAGGAGAAAAUAUUGGGUGGUCCGGGACCUCCACGUCAGCGUGGUCCCCGGCCACUCACGAGAUGCCAUGUGGAUGGUGGGCCCACUUGGUGUCUUCUGCCCUCUUCCCCUCUCUCUCCUCCUAGCCUGCACGCUCUCUCUCCUUUCAGAGCAUUUAUUGCGGGGAAAAACUUUUCUCUUUCCUUCGUUUGAGAAAGAAAACGGCCGUUCGUACCUCUCGUUCCUCUGUCCCUCUCCAUUUGUUUCCUUUUGAAAUUCUGAAUCUGAACUUUUCUCCCUCUCUCCACGCUCGUUGCCGCUCCGCCGUGCAUCAAGCGGCCGUUCCCCUCCCAUCGCCGUCAAACCACAUUACGGCCACCCCUACUCCGGUGCUCGCUCGCUUCUCUCUUCGGGCUCGUUGUUGCUCCAUCGUUCGUUCCGACGUUCCUAGGAUUGCAAAUGCAGCACGCGGAGGAGAAGCAGGCCUCUUCGAGCUCUCCUCAACGUCGGCGAGCAUCGCCCGCCGAGCGAGACCCCCACACACGGGAGGCUCGGAGGCGAGGUUGCUGGAGAAGUUGGUGUUCCGGAGGACGGCCUCCUCAACCGGCGACACGGUCGAGGGAGCUGAGAAGGAGGCUGCAGUGGAGUAGUCGAGGGACUUAACGUUGAUUCGGCGAAGCUUGAGCUCGGGCUCUUGACGCAGACGGUGAGGGCGAACCCGAGUGAUGGAUUUAUGAGAUGGGCUUAAGGUCCAUCCGCCCAUGCUGGGCCCAAAAAGCCCGGCCCACGGGAAUAGGGCCCGUGGAUGGGGGAAGGUAUAAAAGGGAGGAGAGAGAGAGAGAAGACACCCCUUGGGAAAUCAUAACGUACGUACGUUCCUCUCCCUCUCUCCCUCCAAGAAAAAGAAAAGAAAAAUGCUUAAGGCGUCCCGUCUUCCCUUCAAGGCAAAUUGGCAUCAUCGGAUCAGAAUUUCUUCCUCGAUUUUUGGCAUUGGUGUUUAAUUUGUGGCUAACAAGGUAUGCUCGAAUCCUGCUUUACGAUCGGUGAUACGUGUUUUUCCGAGCUUCGUCUUCCGCAUUGAUUUAGGGGUUUGAUUUAGUGUCGAAUCCGGUUUUCGGGGAUCAGUAAUUCCCAACAUUGGUAUCAGAGCCCUAGUUCACGUUUUUCCCGAUCAAUUUGAUGUUUUUCAUUGAUUUUUCGUAAAAAAAUUCUCGGCCGUACAGAUCGGGGCGUGAAAUCCCGACACCCGAGCACUAUACGUCCUUUUUUCUGAGUUUCCGUACGUCGGAAUCAAAUUCCGAAGGCACUGCGUGAAAGGCGACGUCGAGACGAGUCCGGCGACAUGUCGUGCGUCGCCGGACGACGUCGCACGCGCCCGAAGCGCUGGCUAUGGCCAGCGCGUGCGCCACACGCGCCGGUGACGAACCGGCACAUGCGCGCCGGCGACCGGCGAAAUGGCACGCGCUGGUCGGCGAAACGGCACGCGCCGGUCGGCGAACCGACGCGUGCUGACGUCAACCACUGACGUCAUCGUGAUGUCACCCAACGGUCGAUAACUGUCUAGAUGACGUCAGCACCGACGACGGUUGGCCGGCCGGUACCAGCCAGUGCCCGACCCGACGGCGACCGACCCGACCCGAUCAGCCUGGCGCAUGCCGCGCACGUGCGGCUGACGUCUGCGUGACGUUAGCACGCUCACGCGCGAGGCAUGUGUCGGCUGACGUCUGCGUGACGUCAGCCAGCGCACGCGCGCGGCACGUGCGGUCGGUUCGUCCUACCGGCCCGACCGGUCCUCCGACCCGCGCGCCCGUUGACCCGACCCGUUGACUGACGACCGUUGACCGUUGACUUUGACCGUUGACCCGGAAAAAAAAAAAGAAAAAAAAAAGGGAAUUUGUUUCUUUGUUCAAUUAUGUCUGUGUGGAUUGUAGGUAAUCCAUUUUUAUUCUGCAUUUGUUGCAUGAAUCAUGGAAAUUUAUGUAUUUUCCAUUUUGUUUAUUAUGGAUUAUAAGUGAUCCAUUUUAGUUCUGCAUUUGUUGCAGGAACUAUGAUGCGUUAUGCACGGAUACCUGCAAUCCCAAGAACGGACGAAGGAAGAGCUAGACUGAAAAGACUGAUGAAAGAGUUAGCUGAUUAUCGGUGGCUUGAUGGUGAUUUAGUAUCACACAUGGUCAAGGUCAAUUAGAUGAUACAGGAAAUCAUCUGGAAUGGUUACCUUAUGCCGGACUUUGAGAAGGUGCCGGUUUUGAUGAACACUCUUCCACCUGAAUGGCAAUCAGUGUUAGAUCGGCUAUGGGAGAUCAACGUGGUCCCGGAUUACAGAGGGCUAGUGGAAGCUUUUGUAAGAGAGUACUAUAGGAUUGAGUUGGCCAAAACUUCAACCCUUAGAUUGAGCGCCACAUGGCGCAGAGCGAAUGCGCCUUGGUGGCGACAUAAGAGCUCUCCAAAAGUUUUUUCAUGGUUGGCAAAUGUGCCUUCGGUUUUCUCAGAUGUUUUGACUGAUAGAUUAGAAGGGACUUUCCCUAAUUAUUUCUUUGAUUAAUUACGUAAUGUUUACUACCUAAUUGUUGUUGAUGUAGCAACCGAUAUGUUAGUUGUAUCAUGUGAAAGCAUUGUUAUUUUAUUCGAUGUUAGAUAAUAUUUGCUUUCUGUUACUGCUAAUUGCUGUGGGUAGUUAGCUGUGGGUAGUUAUAGAAGUUUUUGUAACUUCAUAGAAUUGAUUUUGCAUAUGACAAUCAUAUUAAUGAUGGUUUCAAGUUAGGAUUUUUGGAGGAUGAUUGGAAACGUAGUGACCUUUUGAUUCUGAAGCCUUAAAAUUAUUCAUUAAUAUAAUGGGUCUAUGUAAAAGUGGAUGCAUAAAUGAUAGGCAUUAAUAAUUCGUGCAUGUAUGUCUGAUGUGUUCAGAUCGAUAUUUUCAGUAACUAAGAACGUUAUUGCUGAUAUGAACGGUAACAAUUGUGAAAUAUUGAAUAUGAAGAUUCAAUAUGUGCUGGAAAAGCAAGAAGCACUAGAAGCUCUUGACCAUAUUAUGGAAGAUCUAGAGGAUGAUGUGCGCCACCUUGAGCUAGUAGAGGACUGCCUAUCGGCAUUUGAGCCGAAAAUAGACAUUGGCUAUGCUGGUUCUAGCUCAAAAAAGGGCUUUGAGCUCUAAGCUCAAACGUAUUGAUUCGUUCAAUAUGUGGGAAAGCAAAGGAUCAAGUCCUUAUUGCAAGAGAUCAAGAGUUAACCAAUACAAGAGAGGAAAACGUCCUCAAGUGAAGAAAAUGUGUGUUACAAUUGUGACAAGAAUGGUCACUAUGCUCGCAACUGUUGUGAGCCAAAGAAGGUAAACACCUCUUGUGCAUUUGAGAACUUUGAUUAUGUGUCAAGUUUUGAAUUAUUGGCUGAAUCCAAUCCUUUGUGGACUAUAGAUUCAGGAAAGACAGACCAUGUAGCGAAGGAUAGAGAAUCCUUCGUGGAAUUUCGACGAUACCGACUCGAACUAAGUGGAUCUAUGUGGGAUAUAACUCCAGAAAUGAAGUUAAAGGGAUUGGCACCUGCCAAUUGAACAUGCGUGGUGGAUGCAUCUUGUUCCUACAUGACGUUCCAUAUGCUCUAGAGAUUCGUCGAAAUUUAACGUCUGUUUUGGUGUUGGUUAAACUUGUUUUUUAUAUGAACUUCCAUAAUAAAGGUGUAGAUUUGUGUUUAGAUACAAACUACUAUGGUUGUGGUCACUUUCUAGAUGGUUUUAUUGUAUUGAAUGUUGACUGUGGUGAUGUCAAUAUGUUAUUCCCUCGUUUCACGUCUUUUACUUCAUGUAAUGAUGAUGUGAAUAUGUGGCAUGCUAGACUUGGUCAUAUUGGCCAACAACAUAUGAAUAGACUAGCCAAAGAGGGCUUGUUGGGCAAUAUUGAAAAAGUCGAUUUGUCCAUAUGUGAGCAUUGCCUAGUAGGGAAAAUGACAAGGAAACCAUUUGGAGAAGGUAAAAGAGCUGAAUUUCCUCUACAUUAAUCCAUUUGGGCGUCUAUGGUUCAAUGAAUGUGAGAGAAAGGCAUGGGACUGUUUAUUUCAUCACUUUUAUAGAUGAUUAUACUCGAUUCGGAUGUGUCUAUUUGAUUUUUCAUAAAUCUGAAGCAUAAGUUGUUUCAAAAGGUUUAUGAACUUGGUUGAAAAUCAAUUAGACAAUAAAAUAAAAGCAUUGAGAUCUGAUCGAGGUCGAGAAUAUUUAUCUAAUAAGUUCAGAAAAUUAUGUGAUGAAAAAGGAAUAGAAAGACAGUUGUCUAUUCCAUAUACUCCUCAACAAAAUGGUGUUGCAGAGAGAAGAAACAGAACCCUACUGGAAAUGGUUAGGUCCAUGAUGGCGCAUGUUAACUUACCUAUCAUUUUUUGGAGUGAUAUGUUGUUAACUACUGCUUAUAUACUUAACCGAAUGCCUUCCAAAUCAGUUAGUUCCACUCCAUAUGAGUUAUGGAUAGGUAGAAAUCGGACUUAAGUUUACUUAAGCCAUGGAAUUAUGCUGCCUAUACUCAUAUGUCCUCUCACAAGUUUGGAAAAUUGAGUCCCAGAUAAAAUAAGAGUAUUUUCAUGAGAUACUCCGAACACUCGAAAGGGUAUAUGUUCGUAGGUGAGCAGGAAAGUGGGAGUAUAACUGAAUUUGAAUCACGGGAUGCCACAUUCUUAGUGGAUGAAUUUCUUAAGAAGUGCAAAAUAGGGAAAUAUUACUUCCUAUUUGAAACCUUGGAUCUAGAUAAUGAUAUUGGUUGAGUUCGUCCAAGUGGGAGUAAUAUGAGAUGUGAUGAAUUGAAUUCAACUCAUUCUCAAUUACAACCACAUGAUGAGAUGAUAUCGUCAUUAUCUAAUUUGAGUGGGAGCAUAACGGGGAAUGAUGUGCUAAGUGUACAUUCUCCCAUAUAGCGAACAAGUCGCCAAAGUAUCCCCCGUCGACGUUUUGACAUUGAAGGGGGAAACUUUUAUAAUUGCUCCACGAGAUAAGGAUGAGCCAAGAAAUAUUAAUGAGGCUCUAAAUUGCCCUAAUAAGGAAAAAUGGAUUAAUGCAAUGGAAGAGGAAAUGGAGUCAGUGAAAUCAAACCAAGUCUGGGAACGGGUUGAUCUUCCAAAAGGGACGCAGAGCUAUUGGGAACAAGUGGGUUCUCAAAAUAAAGCGAAAGGCUGAUGGCUCGAUAGAAAGGCAUAAGGCUCACCUUGUGGCGAAGGGGUAUAAUCUACAGGAAGAUAUUGAUUAUGAAGAUACAUUUUCUCCUGUAGUGAGAUUUACCUUGAUUCGCAUAAUUCUGGCAAUAGUGUUUAGCAUGGAUCUUGAGUUACAUCAAAUGGAUGUAAAGACUGCUUUCCUCAAUGGAGAAUUAGAGGAAAAAAUAUAUGGAACAACCUGCUGGUUUCAUAAUGGAAGGCCAAGAAGAAAAGGUAUCUCGACUUUGGGGGUCGAUAUAUGGCCUUAAGCAGUCGUCAAGACAAUGGUAUAUACGUUUUCAUAAUGCCAUAAUGGCAUAUGAGUUUACAAUGAUUAAUGAGGAUCAUUGUGUAUAUAUCAAAAGAUCCAAGGAUCAAUUUGUGAUCAUAUCAUUAUAUGUUGAUGAUAUACUGAUUGCCAGAAGCAAUAUGGAGUUGGUUAAUACUGUCAGGAGAUAGUUGUCUUUCAACUUUGAGAUGAAUGAUAUGGAAUUGUAAACCCAUAAACACUCCUAUUGCAAAAGGUGAAUGAUUGAGCUAUAGACUAUGUCCAAGGACUCCACAAGAGAAGGAACAAAUGAAACAUGUUUCUUAUGCUAGUGCUGUUGGGAGCUUGAUGUAUGCUAUGAUGUGUACAAGACCUGACAUAUGUUAUGUAGUUGGAAUGGUGAGCAUAUACCAAUCCAAUCCAGGUCAAGCACGUUGGAAAGCCGUUAAAAGAAUACUAAGGUAUCUAAAGGGGACUGCUGAUUAUACGUUGAGUUAUUAUGGAAAGGAUCUGCGACUCUAAGGCUAUUCUGAUGUUGAUUAGGGAGGAGAUUUAAAUAAAAGGAAAUCUACCUCUAGGUUUGUUCUCUUAUCGAAUAAUGGCACCAUGUGUUGGAGCAGUAAGAAACAAAAGUGUAUAGCCUUGUCCACGAUGGGAAUUGAGUUCGUGGCAUUAUCAGCAGCAGUAGAAGAAGAUGUUUGGCUUAAGAGAUUUUUUGGAUCAUUUAGGUGUUAUUGGAAGUGCUGCAGAUUAAUUGUUGGUUAAUUAUGAUAGCCAAGCAGCAAAAGCGUACACCAAAGAUCCAAAAUAUCAUGGCAAGACGAAACAUAUAGAUACCAAGUAUAAUUUUGUCAUGGAUAUGAUUGCACGAAAAGAUGUGAACUUAGAGUACAUACUACGCAUAGAAUGGUAGCAGAUCCUAUGACAAAACCAGUACAUAGAGAUGUGUUUUGUGGCCAUAUGAAAUCUCUAGGACUGCGUAGAGGCUAAUGUACUGAAUAUCAUAAUUUUCCCUAAGUGUUCACAUAUGAUGAAUUUAUGUUUUUCAUCAUUAAUGCUUAUGAAUCUUUGUUUGAUCUUUAUGCAUCUUAAUGCUUAGUGCAUUACUUUAAGUUAGGAAAGUAUGUUGGACAGAUAUGAGAUUAGCCCACUCACACGGGUAAUCGCUUCUAUUUAUUGUGUGACAAAUAGAGAUGAGACUGUUUUUAAGCUUAUUAUCUAAGUGAUAAUCGAGAGCUCAAGCUUAAAACAUGUAUGUCGCCUUAACUGAGUGUUAAGAUGAGGACAUAAUACUUACUAUGUUCGAAAGUAAAAUACCCCACAUAUUUUACUUUAUCUGUCUAUGAUGCCAAAUGUGAGUUCUGAUGAAUUUAGUAAAUGAGUAGAUACGUGAACUCAAGUUAGACAUUGGAUAUGUCUGAACUAUCAUCUGUACGGUAUAGAAAGGUGUAGACAUACGCUCCAUGGGAAAUGAGUUAAUACCGUAAUACGUAUUUCAUACUACGUAUGCAUGAGACGACCAAUAAGAGUGGCAAAAGUUUGAUCUCAACUUUUUAUGUCGUGUGAGACUCUUGAGGAAAAGAGUUCCUCAAUUUUUUAGUCCCCUCAUGACUCUUACUUAUUCUCAAGAUUUUUAUUUAGUGUUUGCUAUCUUAGGAUGUUGCCAAUGGUCAUGAGUUUGAUUCGAUCUAAUGGGGCAUUUCUAGAAAAGCAAGUUGAACUGAAAUUGAGAGUUUGAAGGGAAGAGGAAGAUCGAUUUAGGAGAAUCACAUUGUAGUUUUGUAUUCACCGGUUAACCAAUUAUGACUAUCUUUGGGAUAAUCAUAAUUGUGAAUACAAUAUAUAUAUAUCAUUGUUUAAAAGAGAUCAAGAGAGAUAUAAAUGUGAUCGAUCGAUCUAGGGAACUGCAUACUAAAUCUACUCGGAGUGAAAUGCCCAUUAUGAGCUGCUAUAUAUUCCUAACAGAUGUAUAGCAACGAGCUCUCAAAGUAUGCUGGUCGCACAGAUUAUUCACCGGUAUGAAUGUUGAAGAGAGGAAAAGAGGAUUCUGUUCGGCCCAUCAUGUUAAGUGAGAAUCUAUGAUGGAUUUUUCUCUGAUGGGGAUGAAUAGGGCCUGUCCGCCCAUGUUGGUUUUGGACCACCAUGUGCGAGUGGGAGAUGAUGGAUUUAUGAGAUGGGCUUAAGGUCCAUCCGCCCAUGCUGGGCCCAAAAAGCCCGGCCCACGGGAAUAGGGCCCGUGGAUGGGGGAAGGUAUAAAAGGGAGGAGAGAGAGAGAGAAGACACCCCUUGGGAAAUCAUAACGUACGUACGUUCCUCUCCCUCUCUCCCUCCAAGAAAAAGAAAAGAAAAAUGCUUAAGGCGUCCCGUCUUCCUUUCAAGGCAAAUUGGCAUCAUCGGAUCAGAAUUUCUUCCUCGGUUUUCGGCAUUGGUGUUUAAUCUGUGGCUAACAAGGUAUGCUCGAAUCCGUGGUGUGCUUUACGAUUGGUGAUACGUGUUUUUCCGGGCUUCGUCUUCCGCAUUGAUUUAGAGGUUCGAUUUAGUGUCGAAUCCGGUUUUCGGGGAUCAGUAAUUCCCAACACGAGGAAGGUGGUGCGGAGGUUGACGAUCAAGGCGAGGGUGUAGACGAAGCACUUGCAGCUGCUGCGCCUUUGGUUGCAGCAAGGUGGCGGCUUGGCGAAGUGAGCGAGCUAGUGAAUGCAAGAGAGCACGGGUCACUCAUUGAGGGGGUUGAUGUGUUCCUAUGCCGUCGUCCGAGGUUUUUGCCGGUUGGACGUGCAGGACCGUGUGAAAGCUGGGUUUGAGUGGGUCUGUGCUGUGCUGCUCUAUCGUUGUCGCUCUUUGAACCUCCACCGGUGAUGACCCGCGCAGGGCAUUCGAGGCGGCGUUGGAAGGUGCUAAAGCCCAAGGCAAGAUCGACAGCAGUGGAGGGUGGAGGAAGAAGAGCAGAUGGGUAGUUAUGGUGGACAACUGCAUCGGCCAAGAGCAUGUUUUCAGGAUCAUCUCACCACAGAGGAAACAGAUUGAAGCUUGAGGACGAGAUUCAUUUGGUUUUGGGAAACAAAGAGGACUAAGACUUUCUGCUAGAUCUAGAUCUGGUCAUCCACACUAACUCCUAAAAUCUUGCAAAUGUAAAUAGCGAUUGAUUGUAUUAUGUAAUCUCCCUCUCUCUUGAGCUCAUAAUCUCCUGCGCAUGUGAAUAGUCUGUGUGCUCUUAUGAAUAUGUUGGGGGUGUGCAAUGAGGAAAGAUCAGCUGGCUUGUUUUGGGUUUCAUGCGCAACUUUAGUAGGAAAUGAUAUGAAAUCUUUGAUCUCCCAACAACACCUAACUUCGGCGACCACUAUAACCAAAGCAAUCGAAUAUCGCAGAGAAUCUUUGAUCUCCCAACAACACCUAACUUCGGCGACUACUAUAACCAAAGCAAUCAAAUAACAAAGGGAGAGAGAGAGGGAGCUUGAAGGAACGCCUCGCCAACGCCAGUCGUCCGCCCGAGAGCCACCGUCCGCCACAGCCCUUUUCCCGUUCAACCGGGUGGGUUUCCCGAAGCAUACUCGCUUCGUUUUCAUGGGAACUUCGAUUCUUCCAGUCCUUCAUCGGUGUUGUAACGAGUUAUGGUGCCCUCUGUUAGGGUCCCAAACCUGUGUUCGAGUCUUGAUCGAGUCUAAAAUCUAUCGUUUCAGCUGUGCAUAUUAGAUGUUCGACAAAAUGCUUGAGUGAAUGGCCGAAUCCCACAUAGUCGAAUCGAUUGUUAGAAGCCUAGUUUAAUGCAUUUGUUCUAAUAUUGUGAAUCUACGUCUGAUAUCAUUCUUCUCUCUUUGUUUCCCUGCGAUUUUUAUGGCAUAUGCAUCAAAUGCUGGGUUCACCGGAAAAGCAAAACCUCGUUGGAAUGCAAACCCCUCGUCAGCGAGUCCUGCGGUUUAAGGCCAUCCUAGUUAGCACUUGUUCUGAUUUUAUUGCAUUCUUGACUAUUUAUUUGCCGGAAAUCUGGGAUCAAAAAUUUUAGCUUCGGUAUGGUUAUUUGCUUUGGUUAUAGUGAAAGAUAAAAAAUUCUCAGAUUAUUGCCCAUUUAUCUGCAUCAAUCUGGAUAGCUCCUAUGGUUAUAAAGAUUGACCCUUAGCAAAAUUGACCGAAAAUGAUCUCUAGAGAUAAGUAAUCCAAUCUGCUCUCCCAGAUAUAAAUUGAAAAAGAACGAGAAGCAGAAAGAAAAAGAUUUGGAGAGGAAGAUAGACUAGAUAUAGUAUUAUAUGCCUUAAAAAGCUCUCUAUUCAUGAUUCCCUGAAUUAUAUGAACACGAUGACAAUCAUCCCACAAACCCAAAAAGAAAAGCGAAAGCACCACCAUCAAGAACAGCCUCUCAAGAACAGCCUCUCUCAGUGAGUGACCCGUGCUCUCUCGCAUUCACUUGAACUCCGACUUUCGUGAUGCCUAAAGAAGAUCCGACCAGCCCAAUCGUGCCCUCCAGACCCCGCCUCCAGAGCGACGACGUGGAGCUCGCCCACUUCGCCAAGCCGCCACCUCACUGCAACUAGAGGCGCAGCAGCUGCAAGUGCUUUGUCUACACCCUCACCCCGAUCGUCAACCUCCGUGCCGCCUUCCUUGGGUUCGCCCUCACCGUCUGCGUCAAGAGCCCCGAGCUCAGGCUUCACCGCGUCGACGUCAAGUCCCUCGACUACUCCACCGCGGCCUCCUUCUCAGCUCCCUCAACCGCGUUGCCGGUUGGGGAGGCCGUCCUCCGGAACACCAACUUCUCUAGCAACCUCGCCUCCGAGCCUCCCGUGUUUGGGGGUCUCGCUCGGCGGGUGACGCUCACCAACGUUGAGGAGAGCUCGAAGAGGCCUGCUUCUCCUCCACGUGCUGCAUCUGUGAUCCUGGGAACGUCGGAACGAACGAUGGAGCAACAACAAGCCCGAAGAGAGAAGCAAGCGAGCACCGGAGUAGGGGCAGCCGUAAUGUGGUUCGUCGAUAAUGGGAGGGGAACGGCCGCUUGAUGCACGGCAAAGCGGCAACGAGCGCGGAGAGAGGGAGAAAAGUUCAGAUUCAAAAUUUCGAGAGGAAACAAAUGGAGAGGGACAGAGGAACGAGAGGAACGAAGGGCCGUUUCUCAAACGAAGGAAAGAGAAAAGUUUUUCCCCGCAAUAAAUGCUCUGAUAGGAGAGAGAGCGUGCGGGCUAGGAGGAGAGAGGGCAUUGGCAGGCUAGGAAGAGGAGAGAGAGGGGAAGGGGCAGAAGACACCAAGUGGGCCCACCAUCCACAUGGCACCUCGUGAGUUGCCGGGACCACGCUGACGUGGAGGUCCCGGACCACCCAAUAUUUUCUCCCAUUCCUUCAGACAACAUCAUAUACGGGAGAUCUUGAUUUUGACUUUGGAGUACUCUGUGCAUUCUCUCUCAUCUUUUUUCUUAAAUAUCUCGGAUGCAUUGUCGUUAUUAGUUAUUGUUUUUAUUAUUAUAUUAUUGACCAAAGAUCCAUGGAGUAAAGUUAAACUUCUCCUGACCACCACCCGCGGUGGCCGCGCGGUUAAGAGCUUGGUACCCUUUUCGCAAGAGGGGAAGAGUUCGAAACUUCGUGGACGCAGUGUGUCAUGCACAAACACGCGUCUUAACUGCGAAAGGGACUAGUGGUGGGAGGCUCUGAGCUCCAGGGUUUACUCUUCGCCGCGAAGCGGCAGUGCGGAGGUUCCCUGGGUACCAAAAAAAAAAAAAAAAAAAAAAACUUCUCCUGGUACAUUGUUCUUAUUACAUCUCUCUUGUAACAUCAAUCAUGUUGUAUUCUCCUGUUGGCCAUAAUCAGUAUUUACAUAAAAUCGAUCAUUUGGGACCAUUUGUAAUUUAUUCCUUCACACCACUGAUUCUAUGCGAUAAUGUUAUCAAAUGUCCGUAUCUUUUAAUUCUCGACUCUUCAUCCUCACCACUUAAAUGAUAUUGAAGGUCCAUUGUAACACCAACUGCUUCUUGAGGGAUAGCUAUAAAGAUUAUUGCCGUGCCAGUCUCCAGGAUGGAAACUGGAGCAGCGCCCCCACAUACCGACAAGAAGGCCUGCUUGUACUUUUUUCCCUAAGGAAAAUUACAUCAAACAUUUUAAGAACAUCAUAAAGAUGCGACAUUGGAUUUGCAAAUUAUAGGGAUUUCGAUUUUCUACAAGGAGCUCAUGACAUUUUGCAUUGUACCUUUCUUUGUACAACUUGUUAGUCAACAUUCAGGACCUACCAUCAGCCUAAGGCCGAGUUUUCGUGAGGAACUAUGGUUCUAUCUAUGAUGCUUGAUCGAAUCAAAAUCUAGAGUUGUAUUCACAUUAUCGGCUCAGUUAAAAGUAAUUUUCAUGUGAUUCUUCCGUGAGAAGAAGGUAAAUGUGAUGGCAUGAAGAGAAUCGGUAUUCGAUGUGUCGUGGAUGCCUCCAUCUUCCUUGCAAUGGAGUUUUCACAAUCAAUACAGCGCAAGGGACAGAAACUCCAUCACCUGAACGGAGUACUUCACGGCGAGGCUCGCGACCCUAUCGCCGCGCUUAAUCCGGUGCGAGAUCGCGACCUUCCCUAUGCCGUUAUCCCUCCAGAAGCUGCCCGACCUCGGGAGGCCGACCACCUCCUUCAACCUCCAGGGGGCCGCGAAGGCUCGGGUGACCAUGUCACGAUCGGAGGCGACGGAGCUCCAGAUGCGGAGACGCAACUCGCGCGGGCCAGGUCAGCGACGGGGAGCUUCUCGAAGAUGAGCCGGAGGGUGUCGCGGCAAGCGAGGGCGGAGAAGUGGGAGUUCAUCGGCGAGAUGGUGGAACCGUCGGCGGCGGAGGCGGAGGAGGAGGAGGCGGCGGCGGAGGAGAGGGAUCGGGGGUCCGGGGUGGAGGCUCCCGGUCGUCGUCGUCGUUGUCG
rnacentral:lncRNA from 1 species